rnacentral:lncRNA from 1 species
UUUACAUAUUUGAGAAACUGAAAGCAAGUUGUAAUCUAAAGAAUCUACAAGAAAAACAUUGGAAAUGGAAUGGUCAGGUGAUAUAGCAAUUUUACCCAAUCCUUUGACCAAACCUUGAUUUCCAUCCCCGAAUGUGAUAGCUCGUUGGGGAUCUUGGUUUUUCUCGUAGGAGGAGAACAUUUUCUUCUCCCCUGUCAUGUGAUUUGUGCACCCGCUGUCGAUGAUCCAACUUGAGCCCCCGGAUGCAUAAACCUACGAAAUAAGUUUAGUUCUUGAUUUUAGGUACCCAAACGGUUUUGGGUCCUUUGGCAUUAGAUGCAAGAACUUUGGGUACCCAAACACAAGUCUUGGUGCCCUUGUGUUUGUCCCCAACAUACUUGGCAACUAUUUUGCCGGAUUUGUUAGUUAAAACAUAAGAUGCAUCAAAAGUUUUAAAUGAAAAGUUAUGAUCAUUUGAUGUAGUAGGAGUUUUCCUUUUAGGCAAUCUAGCAUGGGUUGAUUGCCUAGAACUAGAUGUCUCACCCUUAUACAUAAAAGCAUGAUUAGGGCCAGAGUGAGACUUCCUAGAAUGAAUUCUCCUAAUUUUGCUCUCGGGAUAACCGGUAGGAUACAAAAUGUAACCCUCGUUAUCCUGAGUCAUGGGAGCCUUGCCUUUGACAAAGUUAGACAAUCUUUUAGGAGGGGCAUUAAGUUUGACAUUGUCCCCCUUUUGGAAGCCAAUGCCAUCCUUGAUGUCAGGGCGUCUCCCAUUAUAGAGCAUGCUUCUAGCAAAUUUAAAAUUAUCAUUUUCUAAGUCAUGCUCGGCAAUUUUAGCAUCUAAUUUUGCUAUAUGAUCAUUUUGUUGUUUAAUUAAAGCCAUAUGAUCAUGAAUAGCAUCAAUGUUAAUAUCUCUACAUCUAGUACAAAUAGUAACAUGCUAAAUGGUAGAUGUAGAGGGUUUGCAAGAAUUAAGUUCAACAAUCUUAGCACGUCAAAUAUCAUUGUUAUCUCUAAGAUCAAAAAUGGAAGCAUUGCAAACAUCUAAUUCUUUAGCCUUAACAAUUAAUUUUUCGUUUUCAAUCUUAAGGCUAGCAAGAGAAACAUUUAAUUCUUCAAUCUUAGCAAGUAAUUUAACAUUAUCAUCUCUAAGAUUGGGAAUUGAAGCAUCACAAACAUUUGAAUCAACCUUAGCAAUUAAACUAGCAUUCUCAUUUCUAAGGUUGGUAAUAACAUCAUGGCAAGAGCUUAGCUCAAUAGAUAAUUUUUCACAUUUUUCUACUUCUAGAGCAUAAGCAUUCUUAACCUUAACAUGCUUUUUAUUUUCCUUAAUUAGGAAAUCCUCUUGGGAGUCCAAGAGUUCAUCCUUCUCAUGAAUAGCACUAAUUAAUUCAUUUAAUUUUUCCUUUUGUUGCAUGUUUAGGUUGGCAAAAAGUGUGCGCAAAUUAUCCUCCUCAUCACAAGAGUUAUCCUCAUCACUAGAGGUUUCAUAUUUAGUGGAGGAUUUUGAUUUUACCUUCUUCUUUUUGCCGUCCUUUGCCAUGAGGCACUUGUGGCCAACAUUGGGGAAGAGGAGUCCCUUGAUGAAGGCGAUGUUGGCGGCGUCCUCGUCGGAGGAGGAGUCGCUGGAGCUCUCGUCGGAGUCCCAUUCGCGGCACACAUGGGCAUCGCCGCCUCUCUUCUUGUGGUACCUCUUCUUUUCUCUCCUCUUUCCCUUGUCUUCGCCCCUGCCACUAUCACUAGAUAAUGAACAUUUAGCAAUGAAAUGACCGGGCUUACCACACUUGUAGCACACUUUCUUGGAGCGGGAUUUGUAGUCCUUCCCCCUCCUUUGUUUGAGGAUUUGGCGGAAGCUUUUGAUGAUGAGCGCCAUCUCCUCAUUGUCGAGCUUAGAGGCGUCGAUGGGUUGUCUACUUGAUGUAGACUCUUCCUUUUUCUCCUCCGUUGCCUUGAAUGCGACCGGUUGUGCUUCGGGCGUGGAGGGGCCAUCUAGCUCGAUGAUUUUCUUUGAGCCUUUGAUCAUCAACUCAAAGCUCACAAAGUUUCCUAUUACUUCCUCGGGAGACAUUAGUGUAUAUCUAGGAUUACCACAAAUUAAUUGAACUUGUUUGGGAUUAAGAAAAACGAGGGAUCUUAGAAUAACCUUGACCAUCUCAUGGUCAUCCCAUUUGGUGCUCCCGAGGUUGCGCACUUGGUUCACCAAGGUCUUCAAGCAGUUGUACAUGUCUUGUGGCUCCUCCCCUUGGCGAAGCCGGAAGCGAUCGAGCUCCCCCUCGAUCGUCUCCCGCUUGGUGAUUUUGGUCACCUCAUCUCCUUCGUGCGCGGUUUUGAGCACGUCCCAAAUCUCCUUAGCGCUUUUUAACCCUUGCACCUUGUUAUACUCCUCUCGACUUAGAGAGGCGAGGAGUAUGGUGGUGGCUUGGGAGUUGAAGUGCCGGAUUUGGGCGACCUCGUCCGAGUCAUAGUCUUCAUCCCCCGGUGAUGGUACCUGUACUCCAAUCUCAACAACAUCCCAAAUGCUAGUGUGGAGUGAGGUUAGAUGAUGCCUCAUUUUAUCACUCCACAUAUUAUAAUCUUCACCAUCAAACAUGGGUGGUUUGCCUAAUGGGACGAAAAGUAAUGGAGUACGUUUUGGAAUGCGAGGGUAGUGUAGGGGAAUCUUACUAAACUUCUUGCGCUCAUGGCGCUUAGAAGUUACGGACGGCGUGUCAGAGCCGGAGGUGGAUGGCGACGAAGAGUCGGUCUCGUAGUAGACCACCUUCCUCAUCUUCUUCUUGUCAUCGCUCCGACGCGACUUGUUGUGUGAAGGGGAUCCCUUCACCUUGUUGGUGGACUCCCCGGAUGGAGCCUUCCCAUGGCUUGUGGCGGGCUUCUCGCCGGUUUCGAUCUCCCUCUUGGCGGAUGCUCCCGACAUCACUUCGAGCGGUUAGGCUCUAAUGAAGCACCAGGCUCUGAUACCAAUUGAAAGUUGCCUAGAGGGGGGUGAAUAGGGCGAAUCUGAAAUUUAUAAACUUAAGCACAACUACAAGCUGGGUUAGCGUUAGAAAUAUAAACGAGUCCGAGAGAGAGGGCGCAAAACAAAUCGUGAGCAAAUAAAGCGUGAGACACAAGGAUUUGUUUUACCGAGGUUCGGUUCUUGCAAACCUACUCCCCGUUGAGGUGGUCACAAAGACUGGGUCUCUUUCAACCCUUUCCCUCUAUCAAACGGUCACUUAGACCGAGUGAGCUUCUCUUCUCAAUCAAACGGAACACAAAGUUCCCGCAAGGACCACCACACAAUUGGUGUCUCUUGCCUCGGUUACAAUUGAGUUGAUCACAAGAAGAAUGAGAAAGAAAAGAAGCAAUCCAAGCGCAAGAGCUCAAGUGAACACAAAUGUCACUCUCUCUAGUCACUAUUUGAUUUGGAGUGAUUCCGGACUUGGGAGAGGAUUUGAUCUCUUUGGUUGUGUCUAGAAUUGAAUGCUAUAGCUCUUGUAAUGUGUUGGGGGUGGAAAACUUGGAUACAAUUGAAUGUGGGGUGGUUGGGGUAUUUAUAGCCCCAACCACCAAAAUAUGGCCGUUGGAAGGCUGCUGUCACAUGGCGCACCGGACAGUCCGGUGCGCCACCGGACACUGUCCGGUGCGCCAGCCACGUCAGCAGGCCGUUGGGGUUCGACCGUUGGAGCUCUGACAGGUGGGGCCUCUGGGCUGUCCGGUGGUGCACCGGACAGGUCCUGUAGACUGUCCGGUGCGCCAACUGCACGUGCUCUGUCCUCUGCGCGCGCAGGCGCGCAUUAAAUGCGUUGCAGUCGACCAUUGCGCGCGAAGUAGCCGUUGCUCCGCUGGCACACCGGACAGUCCGGUGAAUUAUAGCGGAGCGGCCUCCCAUUUUCCCGAAGGUGGCAAGUUCAGCGUCGAGUGCCCUGGUGCACCGGACACUGUCCGGUGGCACACCGGACAGUCCGGUGCGCCAGACCAGGGUGCCUUUUGGGAUGUCUUUGGCUCUCUUUGUUUGAACCCUUUUCUUGGUCUUUUUAUUGGCUUAUAGUUAACCUUUGGCACCUGUAAAACUUAUAGACUAGAGCAAACUAGUUAGUCCAAUUAUUUGUGUUGGGCAAUUCAACCACCAAAAUCAAUUAGGAAAAAGGUGUAAGCCUAAUUCCCUUUCACUACUGAAUCAUCACUUCUUCUAAAGACAGUAACACUUAUAUCUGUAAAAAGACAGUUGUAGCCCAUUUUACAUAAUUGAGAAACAGAAAGCAAAUUGUAAUCUAAAGAAUCUACAAGAAAAACAUUGGAAAUAGAAUGGUCAGGAGAUAUAGCAAUUUUACCAAGACCUUUGACCAAACCUUAAUUUUCAUCCCCAAAUGUGAUAGCUAUUUGGGGAUCAUGGUUUUUCUCGUAGGAGGAGAACAUCUUCUUCUCCCCUGUCAUGUGGUUUGUGCACCCGCUAUCGAUGAUCCAACUUGUGCCCCCGGAUGCAUAAACCUACAAAACAAGUUUAGGCCUUGUUCUUAGGUACCCAAACGGUCUUGGGUCCUUUCACAUUAGAAACAAGCACCUUAGGUACCCAAACACAAGUCUUUGACCCCUUGUGUUUGCCCCCAACAUAUUUGGCAACUACUUUGCCUGAUUUGUUAGUUAGCACAUAAGAUGCAUCAAAAGUCUUAAAUGAAAUAUUAGGUUCAUUUGAUGCAAUAGGAGUUUUCUUCCUUGACAAUUUAGCAUGGGUUGAUUGCCUAGAACUAGAUGCCUCACUCUUAUACAUAAAAGCAUGAUGAGAGCCAGAGUGAGACUUCCUAGAGUGAAUUCUCCUAAUUUUGUGCUCGGGAUAACCGACAGGAUAUAAAAUGUAACCCUCGUUAUCCUGAGCCAUGGGAGCUUUGCUCUAACAAAGUUAGACAAUCUUUUAGGAGGGGUAUUAAGCUUGACAUUGUCUCCCUGUUGGAAGCCAAUGCCAUCCUUAAUGCCAGGGCGUCUCCCACUAUAGAGCAUGCUUCUAGCAAAUUUAAAAUUUUCAUUUUCUAAGUCAUGCUCAUCAAUUUUAGCACUAAGUUGAGCUAUGUGAUCAUUUUGUUUCUUAAUUAAAGCUAAGUGAUCCUGAAUAGUAUCAACAUUAAUGUCUCUACAUCUAGUGCAAAUAGUAACAUGCUCAACGAUAGAUGUAGAGGGUUUGCAAGUAUUUAAAUCAACAAUCUUAGCAUGUAAGAUAGCAUUCUCAUCUCUAAGAUUGGAAAUGGAAACAUUGCAAACAUUUAAGUCUUUAGCCUUAGCAAUUAAUUUUUCAUUUGCAAUUUUAAGACUAGAGAGCGAAGCAUUCAAAUUGUCAAUCUUAGUAAUCAAACUAGCAUUAUCAUUUCUAAGACUAAUAAUUGAAUCAUCACAAAUGUCUAACUUCUCAACCUUAGCUAUUAAUUUAGCAUUUUCAUCUCUAAGGUUGGAAAUAACAUUAUGGCAAGUACUUAGCUUACUAGUUAAUUUUUCACAUUUUUCUACCUCUAGAGCAUAAGCAUUUUUAGUCUUAACAUGCUUUUUAUUUUCCUUAAUAAGGAAGUCCUCUUGGCUAUCCAAGAGUUCAUCCUUCUCAUGAAUAGCACUAAUCAAUUCAUUUAAUUUCUCCUUUUGUUGCAUAUUAAUAUUGGCAAAAAGGGUAAGCAAGUUAUCCUCAUCAUCACUAGAAUUAUCCUCAUCCCUAGAGGUUGUAUACUUAGUGGAGGAUUUUGAUUUUACCUUCUUCUUCUUACCGUCCUUUGCCAUGAGGCACUUGUGGCCGACGUUGGGGAAGAGGAGUCCCUUGUUGACGGCGAUGUUUGCGGCGUCCUCGUCGGAGGAGUCGAUGGAGCUCUCGUCGGAGUCCCACUCCCAGCAAACAUGGGCAUCACCGCCCUUCUUUUUGUAAUACUUCUUCUUUUCUCUCCUCUUUCCCUUCUUGUCGUCGCCCCUGUCACUGUCACUAGAAAUAGGACAUUUUGCUAUAAAGUGGCCGGGCUUACCACAUUUGUAGCAAACCUUCUUGGAGCGGGGUUUGUAAUCCUUCCCCCUCCUUUGCUUGAGGAUUUGGCGGAAGCUCUUGAUGAUGAGCGCCAUUUCCUCAUUGUCGAGCUUCGAGGCGUCGAUGGGAAGCCUACUCGAUGUACAUUCUUCCUUCUUCUCCUCCGUUGCUUUGAAUGCGACCGGUUGCACUUCGGGUGUGGAGGGGGCGCCUUGCUCGAUGAUUUUCUUGGAGCCUUUGAUCAUCAAUUCAAAGCUCACAAAUUUUCCUAUCACUUCCUCGGGAGACAUUAGUUUAUAUCUUGGAUCACCACGAAUUAAUUGUACUUGAGUAGGGUUAAGAAAUACGAGUGAUCUAAGAAUAACCUUGACCAUCUCAUGGUCAUCCCAUUUUGUGCUCCCGAGGUUGCGCACUUGGUUCAUCAAAGUCUUGAGCUGGUUGUACAUUGUUUGUGGCUCCUCCCCUUGGUGAAGCAUGAAGCGACUGAGCUCCCUCUCGAUCGUUUCCCUCUUGGUGAUCUUGGUCACCUCGUCUCCUUCGUGCACGAUCUUGAGCACGUCCCAAAUCUCUUUUGCGCUCUUCAACCCUUGCACCUUAUUAUACUCCUCUCGACUUAGAGAGGUGAGGAGUAUAGUAGUUGCUUGAGAGUUGAAGUGCUCGAUUUGGGCCACCUCGUCCUCAUCAUAAUCUUCAUCCCCUACGGUUGGUACCUGUACUCCAAACUCAACAACAUCCCAUAUGCUUUUGUGGAGUGAGGUUAGGUGAUAUCUCAUCAUAUCACUCCACCUAGAAUAAUCUUCACCGUCAAACGUCGGUGGUUUGCCUAAUGGGACCGAAAGUAAUGGAGUAUGUCUAGGAAUGCGAGGGUAGCGUAGGGGGAUCUUACUAUACUUCUUGCGCUCUUGGCGCUUAGAAGUGAUGGACGCGGCGUCGGAUCCUGAUGUAGAGGGCGAUGAAGAGUCGGUCUCGUAGUAGACCACUUUCUUCAUUUUCUUCUUCUCACCACUCUUGUGCGUCCUAAUGCGUGAAGGGGAUCCCUUCUUCUUUUUGUUGCCGGACUCCUUUGAUGGAGCCUUCCCGUGGCUUGUGGCCUUGGCGGGGCUUGUAGGCUUGUUCCCGCCGAUCACCAUCUCCUUCUUGGCGUGAUCUCCCGACAUCACUUCGAGCGGUUAGGCUCUAAUGAAGCACCGGGCUCUGAUACCAAUUGAAAGUCGCCUAGAGGGGGGUGAAUAGGCAAAUCUGAAAAUUACAAACUUAGCACACACUACAAGCCGGGGUUAGAGUUAGAAAUAUAAACGAGUCCAAAAGAGAGGGCAAAAAACAAAUCACAAUCAAAUAAGGCGGACAACACGGUGAUUUAUUUUACCGAGGUUCGGUUCUUGCAAACCUACUCCCCGUUGAGGUGGUCACAAAGACUGGGUCUCUUUCAACCCUUUCCCUCUCUCAAACGGUCACCUAGACCGAGUGAGCCUUUCUCUUCAAUCAAAUGGGACACUAAGUCCACUACAAGGACCACCACAACUUGGUGUAUCUUGUUUUGAUUACAAGUGAGUUGAACACAAGAAAGAAGGAAGAGGAAAAGCAAUCCAAGCGCAAGAGCUCAAAUGAACACAAAUAUCUCUCUCUCUAGUCACUAAUUUGGUUGGAGUGAUUCCGGACUUGGGAGAAGAUUUGAUCUCCUUGAUUGUGUCUUUGAAUGAAGUCUAGAGCUCUUGUAUGGGGUUUGAAGGCUGAAAACUUGGAUGCAAUGAAUGGUGGGUGGUUGGGGGUAUUUAUAACCCCAAUCACCAAAAUAGUCGUUGGUGAAGGCUGCUGUCGCAUGGCGCACCGGACAGUCCGGUGCGCCACUGGACACUGUCCGGUGCGCCAGCCACGUCACCCGACCGUUAGGGUUUGACCGUUGGAGCUUCUGACUUUUGGGCCACCGGACAGUCCGGUGGUGCACCGGACAGUCACUAUUCACUGUGUGGUGCGCCUUCUGGCGCUGCUCUGACUUCUGCGCGCGCAAGCGCGCACUUUUCACUUUUACUGUACCGUUGCAGACGACCGUUGGUGCUGUGGAGCCGUUACUCCGCUGGCACACCGGACAGUCCGGUGAAUUAUAGCGGAGCGGCUCCCAGAAUUCCCGAAGGUGGCAAGUUCGGAGUCGGGUUCCCUGGUGCACCGGACACUGUCCAGUGGCACACCGGACAGUCCGGUGCGCCAGACCAGGGCACACUUCGAUAGUCUUUUGCUCAUUUUAUUUGAACCAUUUCUUGGUCUUUUAUUGGUUUGUUGUGAACCUUUGGCACCUGUAGAACUUAUAAUCUAGAGCAAACUAGUUAGUCUAAUUAUUUGUGUUGGGCAAUUCAACCACCAAAAUCAAUUAGGGAAAGGUGUAAGCCUAUUUCCCUUUUAGAGGUUGGCUUGAAAGAGUAAGGAAUGAACUAUGUUGUUGAUGGUGCGUAGGCGGUAGGACACGUUCAGCGCGACCAUUUUGUUGGGAGGUGUAGGGACACGACAUCCGAAGGUGGACACCAUGUGAAAGAAAGAAGGUUCGAGUGUGGGAAUUGUCGAACUCACAACUGUUGUCACAUUGGAAGUUUUUAAUGGUAGUGCCAAAUUGCGUGGCGACAAAGGAGAAGAAGUGGGCAAUGGUGGGAAACGUGUCGGAUUUGAGGCGUAGGGGGAAUGUCCACAAGUAGUGGGAGCAGUCAUCAAGAAUGACGAGAUAGUAUUUAUAACCGGAAACACUAGGAAUUGGUGAGGUCCAAAGAUCGCAGUGCACAAGGUCAAAAUUGUGUAGAGCACGAGACUAGGAAGUAGAGAAAGGAAGGCACACAUGACGACCGAGUUGACAUGCGUGACAAAUGGCAUGCGUGUCAUUAUUACAAGUAAUGUAAGACAAACUAGCUAAGUGAUGAAGAGCGUCGCGGCCGAUGUGACCGAGGCGGCGAUGCCAUAGCUGGGAGAGGGCACUGGCGAGGAGGACACUUGGGGUAGCAGUGGAAGACAAUGGAGCGGAGAGCGGGUACAGGUCGCCUGAGCUAUUGCACCUGGUGAUUACGCUCUGUGUCCUGAGAUCCUUCACAGAAAUGCCAGCGGGGUCAAAUUCGACAGAGCAAUUAUUGUCGAUGGUGAAUUGACGAACAGACACAAGAUUUUUUAUGAUAGAGGGGGAAACAAGAACAUUAUUUAGGUGGAGAGGUCCGACUUGAGUCGAUCCCAUGGAGGUAAUGGGCAAGGUGGUCCCAUUACCAACAAUAAUAGGAGUAGAAGAGGUAGGAGGAUGGCAGUGGGACAAAAUACCAGAGGUGGAGGCCAUGUGAGCAGUUGCGCCAGAAUCCAUGUACCAAUCACCUGUUGGGGGAGUGAGCGUCAUGGUGUUGAAGGCGCCUGUGAGAGUGUGCUGAUCUUAGGGACCGAGAGGGCCAAAUGUGGUCUGUUCGGGAGUGGGAGACUGUUGGCCAGCCCAUGGAGUGCCUGGGGUAGCAGCCCAGGUGGGAGUGGGCCAAGUCUGCGUGCUAGGAGUGGGCCAAGUCUGUGCCAGGAGUGGGCCACGCGACUGGGGCCCAAGUGGUCGGAGCAGGGGGCAUGGGCCCAAUAGCGCCUGAAGGCCCACCCACAAGGGCUUGAGGAGCCUGGUGGGGGGAGGAGCGAGGAGGCCGAUUCCCCUGGGCCGGACUGGGCCACAUUUGAAUGGUUCCGGUCUAGGGGUUGUACACGCUGGGCCAGCCACCCUGGGUGGCCGUGUGUUGACCACGGGCGCCGCCAGAGGGUUUCCCACGCCGCCGACGGCGGCCGGAGUUGCCAGGAGCUUGAGGAGGCGGACCCGAGACGAGCGCGGUGGCAGGGAUGGGAGCCGACACCGGUGCAGAGGCGACGAGAGCGAAGGGAGCCGUCGACGCGCCCAUGGAGAGCUCUUCCAGAAGGAGUUCGGAGCGAACCUCGACGAAUGACGGGAAGGGGCGCUGCCGCUUCAGGUACGAGCGUAGGUGAGUGAACCUGUCGUUGAGGCCGCGUAGGAGGUUGAUGGUGAGCAGCCGAUCGGAGAUUGGCUCACCAAGUUCGACCAACGAGUCGGCAAGGGUCUUCAUCUUUCUGCAGUAGUUCGAGACGGAGAGAGCACCUUGGCAUAGGGUGCGGAACUCGGUGUCGACGAGGACGAUGCGGGUCUCCCGGUUGCCCACGAACUGCUCCUCGAGGGCGAGUCAGGUUCCGCGCACGGUGGGUUCGACGAUGGUGACGAUGUCGAAAAGUUCGGGCGAGAUGGAUCCGUAGAGCCAGGAGAGAACAUGAAGUUCCAUCUGGACACAGUGGGCGACGUCAGGGAAGGUGGCGUCACACAGGACGUGAUCGGCGAGUGCAUACUUGCUGAGGACGAGGAGGAUGAGGCGAUGCCACUUGGAGAAGGACGGCGUCGCGAGGUCGAGGACGACCGGAACGAGGCUGCGGAUGUGGAGGAUGCCGAGGGCCUGAGUGUGGAGAGCAGCCAUAGGGUCGUCACGGGUUCUGCCUGCUGGUGUGUCAACGUCGACGGUGUCCUCAAUCUCGCCGUGGGUGGUGGUGUCGGCGGACUGGAGACACUGGCGAGCAGCAGCAAGGGCCUGCUCGUGACGCGUAACGUCGUCGCAAGGCGACGUCAUUCGGUAGCCACGGCGGUCGCGCGGGCCUGGAGGGCGGCAGCCGUCUCAGCGGAGCGACGAUGGGCGGUGUCGACAACUUCCUGCUGGAGAUGGCGCUCCUCAGCGGCGCGGUGGUCGUCAGCGGCACGACGAGCAUCGGUAGCACGUCAGGCAGCGGCAUCAGCAUCGGAAGCAUCGGUGGCCAUGGUGGGAAGAUGGGGUGCAGAAGGGUGGGUCAAGGGAGGAACGCGACCUUCUAUGAUACCAUGAAGACGUACAGGAAAUGGGUAAUGUACUGAUUUGAUUAAUAUCAAUGAGGGCAUUAUAAUAUAUAGCCAAGCACUAGCCCAGUUUAUAGAAAUAGGAUCUAGGUAGGCAGGCAAGAAACUAGAGGAUUGAUAUCCUGGUAAUGGGUUUCUAUACAAGGUGAUAGCCUUCUAUGUAUUGCUUUCUAACAGAAAGCAACGAGAGGUGUGACCAAUUCGGCCAAAGACUGAGGACGCCGACGGCGAAGAUGGAAAAACCGAGAAGGGCAUCGUGGUGUCUUAGGUAAUCCUUGCGUGGCACAAUCGCUUCCUGAAGCUCGAGACCUCCACUGCGGACGUGUACUAAAGAAUCAGCUGCUUGUCUAAACUUGGACGAACGGUGGAUGGAGAUAGCUUGGUCGGUGGCAUGUAACAGGCAGAGAGGUGCGGCCUUGUGCAGUGCCUGAGCCCGAGUUUUGGACUCAAUUUAUCUCUCAAUUUCCAGUUAUGAUAAAGGAAUCGUCCCUAAUAGAAAUUGUGCACUAAGUAUAGCUCUAAACACUUUGUUAUAAAGAUCACUAGUUAAAACGCGAUGGAUUAAGAGAUAGAAAGCUCCAAAAAUUGAACAAAAUCACUGAAUUACGCAUUUCAGUUAACUGCAUCCCCAUGAUGGUACAAUACACACCCCCAAUCUGAAUUUUUAAAAUUACUUUCAAAUUUACAUAAGAACAUGAAAAUCUUUAAAAAUAAAAGCUGUUCAAAUUAUCAAGAUAUACAACUUUGAUAUUUGAACCACACCCAAAUUCCUUCUAGAUUUUGAAAUUUGAAUUCCGGGCAAAUUUGUUGAUUCAAAUGUGAGCUAAAUUUCUAUAUUAAACAAGAGUACUUGAAUAACACUCAAAGUAAAAGUUAUCUAUAUGACAAGACCUACCUUUAAUAUUUAAGGUCUAUAGCCAAAUCCCUAUCAUUUUGGAUGUUGAUAAUUCCAAUUUGAAAAUCAAACAAAAGUUUUGAACUUUAAACGCACUUUAACCUACAAGCACAUUGAACUUAGAUUAGCAUUGCCCUAGUUGAUGCAUUCUAGAGUUAAACAUUCAAAAUGCUUGCAAUGCAUAUGAUGACAUGUCCAAUUUUAGUUCACAUAACACUAGAGGUGUUACAAGCCAGCUGGCGCACCCGACCUCGCCCAAUGGUCAGCAACAGCUAGUUCAACGGUCACAUGAUCACCAGACCUUGGGUACGUUGCACCGGACCCCUACGACAGCGCAGAGCAUCUGCUAGAAGACCAAUGGCUAUCUGACGUGGAGGACACCAGAUCUCGGUCCGGUGGCACAUCAGACUAGUCCAGUGCGACGCAAAGAAGUCUGCUUUCUCCAACGUCUAUAUUUGGAGUGGGGCACUAUAUAUACCCCUCCUACCCGGCAUUUGAAGGUGUGGGAGCCCAGGUAACAUACCAAGUGAAGUGAGACACAUCUCCAUUGCUCCAAACACCCAAGUGCUUAAUAAAAUCACUUGGUGAUUAGCGUAGGUGCUUUGCGAAGUGCUUAGGUUAGUUAGAGCGAUAUGGUGCUCGCUCUAGGUUGUUCCUAAUAGAUUGAGUGAGGCUAGAAAAGUGACACAACCCCUCGGAUCUUACACGAGUCAUUGUACUUAUAUCGAGUGGGGCGACAAUCUUGUGAGACCACACCAAUCGAGUUUGUGGUGUGGCCACCAUCGUGUACGGGAGGGAACGAGGCCCAUAGUGUUUCAGUUAGAAGCUCGAUAGUGAAGGUGGUAGGGAGCGUCCGAGCGGAGGCCAAAAGCGGACCACCACUUGCAUGUGGAGAAGGCACACGACUCUCUACGGAGUUGUUCGACCGAGUGUUGGCCCUCGUGUGGGCUUCCCUUUGCGUAGGGACAUCAACGAGGAUUAGUUAGAAACUUGGGUGGUUCUAGAUAACUCGGUAAAAAUAACAGCGCAUUGAUGGGUGUUUGCAUCUCUACCUUUCCCUUUAAGCUUCUACAUUUAUUGUUUACUUAAGUCACAAUCUUUACCAUUCUUAGUUUAGAAUAUAGGCUAGUUGGUAGAAUUGGAACUCAGGUUACAUAACUCAUCUUGUGGUAAAGAUAGCAACACUUAGACAAAAUCGUAGUCCACAUUCUUGUUUAGCUACUUGUGUAGGUUUUGUUUAGGAGAAUUAUUAUUGGCCUAGUUUAGAGUAAGAAAAUAGAAGCCCUAAUUCAACCCCUCCCCUCUUAGGCAUCUGUGUUCCUUUCAGGGUUGCAGUCUUCACACGACAAACUUGAGAUGUUUUCAUGGACUUGGUGUCAACUCAGUCAGGAGCUUUACCUCGUGCUUCUAAGGUAGAAGAUGCUAUCUAGGCUCUCUUCUUCUAUGACCUCGCCUUACGGCUUGAUGCCUUCACCCUUUGUUCGAUGGCAAUCUAUGUGAGCUUCAACUUUAUCAUUAAGGUUUUGAGGCUAACUAUAUACGACAUCACUAGUGUCAAGUCGACCUUAAGCGUUGGAGUGCUUUGAGGAGCUUUGGAAUGAAAGGUGCUCAAUUGGUUGCAUUGUUCGACUUUGGGUCUAAUGGCGAAAGACUCCUCCUUGCCAUUGAUAUAGAGUUGGACUAAGCCAACCCCAACAUCAAUGCUUGCAUUGACAGUGUUGGAGACUUGUUCUCAAAUGCUAUGAGUUAAGAACAAGGCAACACAAAAUGUUAAAGGUUAAUGCCAUUCGUCCUUCGAAGCAUUAUCUCCCUUAGGAUUUAAUGAUCUUCAGACGAAGGUCAUGAAGGAAGUACCUUCAUCAUCACAAUAUAUGUUAACAAAAGAGGCAACAUAUGAAAUAUGGAAGAUAAGACGAACAAUCAUAUGACAUCACCAAUAUAACUUUAUUAUCUCAUCGUGGAUGGACAAGAACAACAUUGAAUUACAUUUGUACCUUCGGCUCGAUAGAAGGCAAAAGUCCAAGCGUGACGCAUGAGCGAAUACAAGUCAGCGUGAACAGUACGGGGGUACUGUUCAUCUAUUUAUAGGCACAGGCGCAGCCUGUAUAAAAUUACAUUCAUGUUUACAAUUGACUUAAGCACAAUCUAUCGAGGACUAAAUAGCCUUUUCCUCUUUAAGUCGGUUCCUUUUUCUGCUACUGAGCCAAAGCUUCCUUGCGCAUAGCUUCGGAAUUGAUUCGACCUUCGUCCCGAUCAUGCUUUCCAUAUUGUGGAUAGCUUCGUUCCAAGUCCGAAGGUUCCUGUACUUAUAUUUCACUUGGAAAACAUUGUUAAUUAUGUUUUUGAGGACCUUCGGAAGACGAAGGCCCCCAACAGUAGCCCCUCGCAGUAUUAAUUUGUUAUAAUAACGAAUUUAGACUGCGAUGUGAACGAAGGCCUUAAGCCGAAGGUCCGAAAAAACACCUUCCCUUUGCUAGAAUAGCAACAGUCAAUGACAGACGGGGCCCUUCAAGUUGCAACGCACUGGGCGUAUAAACAUGAACCCACACCGGCAGCAUUUGGCACGCCAUUUCUGCCAUUUGUGUUAUUGUGUCAAAUUUUUUAGCUCUUGUUCACUAGCUCUUGCCUGAUUCUCGAGCUUUUCGAGCUUCGGUUUAAAGACGUGUUUUCACCAUGUCUGGGGAAAAGAUGACUGAGCAAAAGAAGAUGACUGCGGAGACAAAGCUAACUGAGGAAACGAAGUUGUUUGAAGAAAAGAAAGCCGCAGAUCCUUUUAUCGCCAGGUUUAUUGAGUCUAUGUCAAAAACAAACACAGAGAAGAUUACUAAAGAGAUACUGGAAAGUUUGUCUGAAGAUACUGAUGACAGUGAUAGUUAUGAUGUGGAAAGUGGGGAUGAAGAUUCUGAAGAUCGGCCCUGGCGACCAAGCCAUGCUGUCUUCGGAAAAUCGACUAUUAAACAGAGUCAUCUUGACAACAUGAGAGGAAGGUACUUUCGUGACAUGUCUAUCAUGAGAGUUGGCGGAGACAACAUUGUUCCUGCCCCUAAGGAAAAUGAAGUUGUUAUCUAUCGAAGCUUUUUUAAGGCUGGUGUUCGGUUCCCUUUAAGCAAGUUUGUGGUUGAAGUGCUGAAGAUAUACCAGAUCUUCCUUCAUCAGAUCACCCCCGAAGCUAUAAUGAGGAUGGGGAUUUUUGUCUGGGCUGUAAGGAGUCAGGGGCUAGAGCCAAGCGCGAAGUGCUUCUGUAGUAUGCACGAGCUUUUAUAUGAGACGAAGGCUACUGGCAAAGCACAGUACCACAACAACUUCGGUUGUUAUGGAUUUAUUGCUCGCCCCAAUGCAAGCCACCCAGUGCCAACAUUCCGGAAAAGAUGGCCCGGGGCCUGGAUGGAGGAGUGGUUUUACGUUAAAAAUGAUUUAAAGGCAAGGGAAGACAUCAAAGAAAUCAUCCAGCGCCCCAUCUGGUCUCGCUUCGGCCUCCGAAGGCCGAAGGUGGAAAUUGAUGACGCUGUUGAAGCAUGUCAGAGGGCUUUUAGCACUGUUUGUGCCUUUAUUGGCACAAGGGAUUUGAUUCAAGAGCAUAUAUCCUUCAGGGUAUGGCCACUUGUGGAAAGCUGGGAUAUGCCAAAGGAGACCACCGACGAUUCUAGUGAUGGUGGUCUGGUCCGACUGAAGUAUACCUUCAGAUUUAGGGAGAAGUUUGAUGAGCCAGACGACGACUGGCUGAAGUGUAUCGAAGCUACUAGUGAUGAGCUACUUGGAGCUUACUCCAAGGCUAAAGAUAAUGCUUUGUCCGCAGCCUUCGAGGGCCGGGGGAAGAAAAGACUGAACAAGGUCUUUGAUGCAAUUGGCUUCAAAUACCCUGAUUAUCGCUACCCGCUGCGAGGGCAAGGAAAAAAGAGGAAGACUGCCACUUCGGCCACCACAGUUGUGUCGAAGGGCAAAAAGGUGAAGGUUCUGACCCACCGACCGCGUUAUAUUGAACCAGCCGUGGUGCCUGAAUUUGUCGAAGGAGCCUCUUCGACUGCCGAAGCAAGACAAGCUGCUCCUAUUGCACAGAGCGUUGAAGAACCAACUGUAAUGCCGAAGACGCCUAUAGUCGAGCCAGUCGAAGCUAAGGUUGAUAAGGCUGAAGAGCCAAAGGUUGAAGAAAUAAUGAAAAUACCAGAAAUUCUGAGCCCUCCAACAGAGGCAAAACUGCUGAAGGUGCAAAAGGCUUCUGCCGCGACUCCCAAGUGGAGGAGGAUGGCCAACAUGCUGGAUGCUGUGCUGGAGACUACAAAGGCCUUGAGCCCUGCUCCUUCAAAGAAAAUUGCUGAAGCUGCCAAAGCGCAAGCCGAAGCCGAAGCUGGGCAAGCAGAAGCCGAAGCUGGGCCCUCAAUGCCUAGUGAGAUGAAGGCUAUCACACCUGAAGACGAAGUUGAUCAGCAAACUUCGGAUGCUGUCAUGACAGGAUGGCAAGACACAACAGAGAAGGCAAAAUCUCCUGCCCCUAAAGCCGCGGUCGAGGAUGCUAAUUAUAUUUAUCGUCAUGCUUCGGGGAAAAAGUUGUCCGAAGAAGAAGUUUUGGAAGCCAGACACUAUGCGCGAAAAUUGAAAUAUUGAAAGGAGCUUUAGUGUUUAACUACACUAAUGAUGACGACUUCUUAUAUUGUCUCCCGGACAACAAAGAAAUAUCCGUUUGCCGGGAGAUAGCUAAGAGUAUGGGAUUCCCGAAGCUGGAAGAUGGCCUUUCGAUUUUGUCGAAGGAUGAUCUUGCUGACAGCCUAGCAUACAAAAGUAUAAAGGUAUAAAAGUUAACUUUUAAGUUGGAAACAAAGUAUUUCAUUGUCAUACUCAAUUCUUUCUUCUUUUUUACAGGGCUUGAUUCUUAGUAAUGCCUUGAGGGCACAAAAGAAUACUAAAGAUGAGAGCUGUAUAAUGGCUCUUAACAACCUUCGGUCCGAGGUGAUUGAACUAAGAAACAAUGGUAUAGAGAAAGAUAAAAUUUUGAUUUCAUUGGUAAACAAAGUAAAAGAAGACGAAGCUAAUUAUAAAGCUCAGGCCGAAGCCAAGAAAACCGAAAUUGAAGAUCUUCGGAGAUAGCUGGCCGAAGCUAAAGAAAAUUGCGCGCUCGCACAGGCUAACCGAGAGAUCAGCGAGUACUGGAAAAAUUAUCUAGAGAAAAAUAUCGAAGAACUUCGCGAAUCCAAGGAAAGGUGCUUCGAGAAAUCCUCGGAUUGUGUGAAGAAAUUGAAAACUAGCUUCGCCAAAGUGGGUGCCUACUCUGCUGAAGAAAACUUCAUACGAGGCGACCCCGAGGGCAUCGUUGAAUGGAUAAGUGGAGAAGUCGAAGCCUUCGAAGAAAUUUUGAGUGAUCGCGGGGAUGUCUGCACGUUUUUCGGUGCGUGGGGAAUUUCAGCCAUCUUGGAGAAGGCCGGAUGUGAUCACAUUAAAGCCAUAGCCCAGGCCGAAGCUGCCUUCUCCGUAGAUUAUACGAAGGAUCCAUCAGCUAAAGCAACUUUAAUGGGCGGGAACUUUUAUAAUGAUGUGUGGGUGAAUGGUGGCCGAGAACUGGCCCAUGAGAUUAUAAAAAAGAGUGAAAAAGACACCCAUGACGCUCGAGAAGAAGCAAAACGAGCUGAAGAGGCUGCAGAACGUGAAAGGCGUAUAGGUAUUAUUUUUUGGUUUUUAGCUUCGGUAUUUGUUUUGUGGCUUCAGACUAAUUAAUUUUACCUACUUCAGCUUAACUAUCUCCGCCGCCGGAACCAUACGAUCCCCUAGCUGAUCCAGAAAUGAAGGAAGUGCUGGACAUUAUAAAUAUGGCAGAUUCCAUUAUUGACGAAGUUGUCAACAAACUUUUAAACAAAGUUGCGAAAAAAGUUCUCAGAGAAGAAUAACCUCAUUGUAAAAAUAUUUUGAAAUGGUCGAUGUAUGAGACAAUAGAAUGAACAUCAAGCUUCUAUUGUAACAAGACUAUAAUAUUUGAUGUAUGUAACUUUGAAUCGAAUAUGUAAAUUAUUGUAAUUUAUUUCUUUGCGAUGCAUGAAACUUACAUACAUACCAUUUUUGAGCCUUCGGCGAAAAAAACACCUUCCCUUCUUUUCAUGCUUCGUAAAGAAAGAGAUCCCUUCUUGUGACAAGGAUGAUAAGACUGUAUUUCCCGAAGCUUACUUCAUGCCUUAGCACAUUUUCACUUUGACGAAGCAUUUGCCGAAGAUCAGCUCCGUAUUCGAUUCUUGUGUCAUUGAUGCAAUAUGAUGUAUGAUGUGAUGUUAUGCGAAAUGAUGUGAUGAUGUGAUGCAAAAUGAUGAAGAUGUCGAAGACACACACCCACACGCCCACACUGGAACACACAAGCUCUGCAUCCCCUUAGGAACGACUUUUGAGCUCUUUCACCUUCUGUUUCGGUGAUAUAAUUUCUGCAUCCCCUUAGAAGCGUCUUUUGAACUUCUUUGCCUUCUAUUUCGGCGGUAUAAAUUUUGCAUCCCCUUAGGAACGACUUUUGAACUUCUUCGCCUUAUAUUUCGGCGGUAUUUGGCUCUGCAUUCCCUUUGGAACGACUUUUGAGAAGAAAACUUACGCUGCGCUCCCUUAGGAACGGCUUUUUGUAGUUUCAUCAAAUUUGGCUCUACAUUCCCUUAGGAACGACUUUUGAGCACGAAACUUACACUAUGCUCCCUAAGGAACGGCUUUUUGUAGCUUCGUUUAUGUUGGCUCUGCAUUCCCUUAGGAAUGACUUUUGAGCUUCGUAAAUCUAUGAAGAAGAUAUAUUUCAUUCUGAUAGAAGCAGAAUCAUUACAAGAAAUUAAAACUAAGUUUUCAUUGUUUGUUCCUUAUUCAAAAAGUAAAAUAGCCUAGAAGGUAAAAGUAUUUCAGAAGCAGGAUAUUGCUCAGUAUAUGUGUUUUGAUUCUGGUACAGUACUAUUGACUGUACGAGCUUCAGACUCCUCCCUGAAGUCACGUUGUUGUUGGGAAUGCUGACGCCCUUCUGGUUGCUAGCUUCUGGAAUAGGUAGGCUGCAGUGGUGGUGGCGGUGGGAGCUGAGGCCAAGAAGCUUGUGAAUGGCUUGCCGAAGCAACAGAAGCAGCAGGUUGGUUGCCCACUUAUUCUGGUAUGUAAGGAGAGUGGCACGAAGUAGUAUGUAAAACCUGCUUCGGCUGAUUCUGCCGAGCUUCUGCUUCGGCAAUCUCUUUUUGCUUCAGAAUAGUGAUCUGGCACGUUCUUGUAGUAUGGCCCUUGUCCUCUCCAUAGAAUAAGCAAUAGAUUUUCCUAGGCUGAUCCCCAUGUCUUCCUCCGAAGCCCCUGCCGCCUCUGCCCCUUGGAGCUGGUGGCCUGAAGGAGCUUUGCUGCUGUCCCGAAGACUGUGAUGUGUGUUGUGGCCUCUGAAGCUGGCUUACUUUGUCAUCAUUUUGACUGGAGCUGUGGAUUGAUCUGACAUGCCUAGGGUGGAUUCUCCCUCCGAAGCCCCUAGUCAUCUCAGAAAAUCUAUAAGCUUCCUCCCUUCUUUGUCGGAAGUUGUUAUCAGCUCAGAUGUACUCAUCCAUUUUCUAAAACAGCUUCUCCAGAGUCUGGGGGGGUUUCCUGGCGAAGUAUUGGGUCGUAGGUCCUGACCAAAGACCCUUGAUCAUGGCCUCAAUGACGAUUUCAUUAGGCACUGUGGGCGCUUGUGCUCUCAGUCGCAAGAACCUUCGGACAUACGCCUGAAGGUAUCCUCAUGGUCUUGUGUGCACUGGAACAAGGCCUGAGCUAUGACUGGCUUCGUCUGAAAGCCUUGAAAACUGGUAACCAGCAUGUCCUUGAGCUUCUGCUAUGAUUGUCCCUAGCCGGAGAGAAGAGUACCAUGUCUGGGCCACGUUUCGGAUUGCCAUGACAAAGGACUUUGCCAUGACAGCUGCGUUGCCUCCAUACAAGGAUAUUGUUGCCUCAUAGCUCAUCAAGAAUUGCUUUGGGUCCGAGUGCCCAUCGUACAUGGGUAGCUAAGGUGGCUUGUAGGAUUGUGGCCAUGGGAUAGCCUGUAAUUCUGCUGCAAGGGGAGAAGCAUCAUCAAAAGUAAAGGUACCAUGAUUAAAAUCAUCGUACCAUUCAUCUUCGUUGAAUGAGCCUUCUUGACGAAGCUCCCUGUGUUGGGGGCCUUCAAUCAUGAUCAUCUUGAGUAAGAUGACACACUUCCUCAGUAGCUUCAUCGAUCUUCUUCUGAAGGUCGGCCAGCCGAGCCAUCUUCUCUUUUUUCCUUUGCACCUGCUGGUGAAAGAUUUCUAGGUCCCUGAUCUCCUGGUCCAACUCCUCCUCCUGAAGUGUUGGACUGGCGGCCUUUCUCUUUUGGCUUCUGGCCUCUCGGAGAGAAAGAGUCUCCUCGUUUGUGUCCAGUGGCUGUAGUGCAGCCCCUGGCGCUAUUAUCUUCUUCGGUGGCAUGACGAAGGUUGAUGCUUUGCCGAAGAUUUUGGAAGUGAGUACACCGGAGGUGGGCACCAAUGUUGGAGACUUGUUCUCAAAUGCUAUGAGUUAAGAACAAGGCAACACAGAAUGUUAAAGGUUAAUGCCCUUCGUCCUUCGAAGCAUUAUCUCUCUUAGGAUAUAAUGAUCUUCAGACGAAGGUCAUGAGGGAAGUACCUUCAUCAUCACAAUAUAUGUUAAUAAAAGAGGCAACAUAUGAAAUAUGGAAGAUAAGACGAACAAUCAUAUGACAUCACCAAUAUAACUUUAUUAUCUCAUCAUGGAUGGACAAGAACAACAUUGAAUUACAUUUGUACCUUCGACUCGAUUGAAGGCAAAAGUCCAAGCGUGACACACGAGCGAAUACAAGUCAGCGUGAACGGUACGAGGGUACUGUUCAUCUAUUUAUAGGCACAGAGCGCAGCCUGUAUAAAAUUACAUUCAUGCCCUUCAUGUUUACAAUUGACUUAAGGACAAUCUAUCGAGGACUAAAUAGCCUUUUCCUCUUUAAGUCGGUUCCUUUUUCUGCUACUGAGCCGAAGCUUCCUUGCGCAUAGCUUCGGAAUUGAUUCGACCUUCGUCCCGAUCAUGCUUUCCAUAUUGUGGAUAGCUUCGUUCCAAGUCCAAAGGUUCCUAUACAUAUAUUUCACUUGGAAACAUUGUUAAUUAUGUUUUUGAGGACCUUCGGAAGACGAAGGCCCCCAACAGGCAGUACUAAAAAAAUGGUCGCCCAAGGAUGAGUAGUGUCUUUGUGUCAAGAGGGAACGAGGCACGUGGUGUUUCAAUCAGAAGCUCAAUAAUGAAGACGGUGGGGAGCAUCCGAGAGGAGGUUAGAAACGGAGCACCACUUGCGUGUGGAGAAGACUCAUGACUCUUUACGGAGUUACUCGACUAAGAAGCUUGGCCCUCACGUGGUGAAGCGUCCCAAUCCUCUUGUAUUAAAAUGUGAUACAUAUACUAGUCCCAGGAAGCUACUAUCCGCAUUUAUACAUCAAAUGGUUCUAGAUCUGCUUAAAUGAGAUAAACUUAUACAGGUGGCGAUCAACUUUAAGAGUUGGUCCGCAACUCGGGACAUAUCAUUAGAGUGGGGCUGAAGCAGCCCAAUAUACGUAACUAAGCAAAUAAGCGGUCCAACAACCACAAGCAUGGUUGGGAAACAUGCGUAACUUUUACCCGAUCAACGAUCUCCUCCUCUGAAAACAACAAAUAAGCAAGAGUGAGUACUUACGUACCCAUCAGCCCACCUUCACCCACGGAAUGGGGAAAUCAGAUAUAAUGCAUGGAGUAUGUGGAGCUUAGGGUAUUUUGUAGAAAAGGUAGUUUUUGAUGCAGGGCUAUUUUGUAAAACAUUUUAUCAUUUUCAAAGUGCAUCCUCUCCCAAGGGAACAGGAAAUUUUUUAAAAUAGAACCAAAAAUACCUGGACUAAACCAUUCACUUAUCUUGGUAGUUUCCCACUCGUUUUUUUUCAAAAACCGUUACUGGAUUUCUCAUCCAUCAUAACUCACAGCUCAACCGUCGAACCUUUUAAAACCAUUUUUCAAAACAUUUUGGAAAACAAAACAGUAAUUGUCAAAUCCAUACUAUAACUGAAAGUCACCUAGAGGGGGGUGGAUAGUCAGAAUCUGAAAUUUACAAACUUUAAGCACACUACAAGCCGAGGUUAGCGUUAGAAUAAAAGCCAAGUCCGGGAGAGAGGGAGAAAACAAAUCAACCAAGAAAUAAAGCGGAUGACACAGUGUUUUGUUCUACCAAGGUUCGGUUCCAAAGAACCUAGUCCCCGUUGAGGUGGUCACAAAGACCGGGUCUCUUUCAACCCUUUCCCUCUCUCAAACGGUCACUUAGACCGAGUGAGCUUUCUUCCUUGAUUUCUCAGGUCACUUAUACCCCGCAAGGACCACCACACAAUUGGUGUCUCUUGCUUCGCUUACAAGGCUUUGAGAGUAAGAAUGAGAGAAAGAAGAAAGCCAACCAAGCAACAAGAGCAACAAAGAACACAAGAUGAUCUUCUCACAAGUCCUAAAAUACUACAGUUUAAUUGUGGACUUUGAUUGGAUCGGAGGCUUUGAUUUGUGUCUUGGAGUGUUGUAGUUUGCUCUUGUAUUGAAUGAGGAGUAGUGAAUGCUUGGAUGGUUGGAGUGGAGAUGGUUGGGGGGUAUUUAUAGCCCUCAACCAUCAAUUCAACCGUUGGGGCAGGCUGCUGUCGAUGGGCGCACCGGAUAGUCUGGUGCGCCAGCCACGUCACCCAACCGUUAGGGUUCCGACGGUUUCUACCGUUGGAGCUUUGUCUUCAUGUGGCUCUAGACAGUCUGGUGCCACACCGGACAGCUACUGUUCACUGUCUGUUGCGCCUCUAGCGGCUGCUUUGGCUAGAGAGAAAGUUUUGCUCGUGUUCUUUGAGCUCUUGUUCUUGGAUCGCUUUCUUCUUCCUCAUUCUUGUUCUCAAGACACUUGUAAUCAAAGCAAGAGACACCAAGUUGUGGUGGUCCUUGUGAGGGGUCUAAGUGACCCGUUUGAUUAAGGAGAAAGCUCACUCGGUCUAGGUGACCGUUUGAGAGAGGGAAAGGGUUGAAAGAGACCCGGUCUUUGUGACCACCUCAACGGGGAGUAGGUUCUCAAGAACCGGACCUCGGUAAAACAAAUCACCAUGUCAUCCGCUUCAUUUGCCUUGAUUUGUUUUCACCCUCUCUCUCGGACUUCGAUUUUAUUCUAACGCUAACCUCGGCUUGUAGUUGUGCUUAAUUUCUAUAAAUUUCAGUUUCCGCCUAUUCACCCCUCUCUAGGCGACUUUCAGCGCGCACUGUUCAUGUUGCAGGCGACCGUUGGAGUCGACCGUUGUGCUGGCUAGCCGUUGCUCUGGUGGCACACCGGACAGUCCGGUGGCACACCGGACAGUCUGGUGAAUUAUAGCGGAGCGCGGCCUCAGAAACCCGAAGGUGAAGAGUUGGAGUCGAUUGCCCCUGGUGCACAGGACACUGUCCGGUGGUGCACCGGACAGUACAGUGCGCCGGACCAGGGUUCUCUUUGGUUUUUUGCUCCUUUCUUUUGAAACCCUAACUUGAUCUUUUUAUUGGUUUAUUUUGAACCUUUAGCACCUAUAGAAUAUAUGAUCUAGAGCAAACUAGUUAGUCCAAUUAUUUGUGUUGGGCAUUCAACCACCAAAAUCAUUUAUAGGAAAAGGUUAAACCCUAUUUCUUUUUCAAUAUCCCCCUUUUUGGUGAUUGAUGCCAACACAAACCAAAGCAAAUAUAUAAGUGCAAAAUUGAACUAGUUUGCAUAAGGUAAGUGCAAAGGUUGCUUGGAAUUAAACCAAUUUUAUAGUUUCAUUAGAUAUGCAUGGUUGCUUUUUUUUUAUUUAACAUUUUGGACCACGCUUGCACCACUUGUUUUGUUUUUGCAAAUUUUUGGAAAUUCGUUUUCAAAGUCUUUUGAAUUUAGUCAAAGGUAUAUGAAUAAGAUUGCGAGAAGCAUUUUUAAUAUUUUGAAAUUUUCUCCCCUUGUUUCAAAUGCUUUUCCUUUGACUUAACAAAGCUCCCCUUAAAUGAAAUUCUCCUCUUAGCAUUCAAGAGGGUUUUAAUAGAUAUCAAUUGUAAGUAUAUUUAGAUACUAGUUUUGAAAAUACUAACCAAUUGAAAACAUACCAAUUUUGAAAUAUUAAAAAUUUUCGAAAGGUGGUGGUGCGGUCCUUUUGCUUUGGACUAAUACUCUCUCCUCCUUUGGCAUGAAUCACCAAAAACGGAGACUUAGUGAGCCCUUUAUACUUUUCUCUCCCAUUGGUACAAGUAGAUAUGAGUGAAGAUUAUACCAAUCGAAGAGUGGUGUGGAGUGACGGCGAACGAUAAAUGAUACCGAUAGAGUGGAGUGGAAGCAUUGUCUUCGUCGAAGACUCCAUUUCCCUUUCAAUCUAUGACUUAGCAUAGAAAUAUACUUGAAAACACAUUAGUCGUAGACAUAAAAGAGAUAUGAUCAAAGGUAUAUGCAUGAGCUAUGUGUGCAUUGUUUCAAUCAAAAUUCCGAGAAUCAAGAAUGUUUAGCUUAUUCCUAAGUUUGGUAAAGGUUUUCUCAUCUAAUGGUUUGGUAAAGAUAUCGGCUAAUUGUUCCUUGGUGCUAACAUAAGCUAUCUCGAUAUCCCCCUUUGUUGGUGAUCCCUCAAAAGUGAUACCGAAUGUCUAUGUGCUUAGUGCGGCUGUGUUCAACGGGAUUAUCUGCCAUGCGGAUUGCACUCUCAUUGUCACAUAGGAGAGGGACUUUGCUGAAUUUGUAGCCAUAGUCCCUUAGGGUUUGCCUCAUCUAAAGUAAUUGCGCGCAACAAUGGCCUGCGGCAAUGUACUCGGCUUCGGCGGUGGAAAGAGCUACUGAGUUUUGUUUCUUUGAAGCCCAAGACACCAGGGAUCUCCCCAGAAACCAAGUCCCUGAUGUCCUCUUCCUAUCAAUUUUACACCCUGCCAUCGACAUGUGAAUAUCCUAUUAAAUCAAAGGUGGAUCCCUUGGGGUACCAUAGUCCAAACUUAGGUGUGUAAACUAAAUAUCUCAUGAUUCUUUUCAUGGCCCUGAGGUGGACUUCCUUAGGAUCGGCUUGGAACCUUGCACACAUGCAUACGGAAAGCAUAAUAUCCGGUCGAGAUGCACAUAAAUAGAGUAAAGAUCCUAUCAUCGACCGGUAUACCUUUUAAGCUACGGACUUACUGAAAGGGAAAUGUGUCCUUGGGCCAUUUCUAUAAUAUUUUGGUGAUUAAGUGUCCAACACAUAGUAAGUGAUUAGCUAUGUGCCAAAACAAGCAAGAAGUGCAAAUCAUGUAACAAGGUACGUUUCUAGACUUAGUAUAUUGUUUUGAGUACUAACAUAUUUUGUCUAAGUACUAGAAACAGGGAGAAAAGAAUUGGAAAAAGACUUGGCUCUGUGCAGCCAAUUCUCAGCUCAGUCUGGCACACCGGACUGUCCGGUGGUGCACCGGACAGUGUCCGGUGCGCCAGGCUGGUCUCCGGUGAAUAGGCCGCUCUCAGGAAAAGUUUGGCGGCGUAUGGCUAUAAUUCACCGGACUGUCCGAUGAGCCAACGGUCGCCAGCGCAACGGUCGGCCGCGCAAUCCGCGGGCGACGCGUGGCCCGCACCAACGGUCGGCAGGGGGCACCGGACUGUCCGGUGUGCACCGGACAGUGUCCGGUGCGCCAACGGGCUCGAAGCUGCAACGGUCGGGUGCGCCAGAAAAGGAAGGAGAUCGCACACUGGACAGCUACAGUGACUGUCCGGUGGUGCACCGGACUGUCCGGUGCACCACCCGACAGAAGGCAAGUUUGGCCUUCCUUGUUGGCUUCCAACGGCUCCUAGCUGUCUUGGGGCUAUAAAAGGGACCCCUAGGCGCAUGGAGGAGCUACACAAGCAUUCACUAAGCAUCCUAAGGCAUCUAGACUCUGUUCCCGCGCAUUCGUUUCAUUGUGUUAGAGAUUUGAGCUCUAUUCGAGUCAAGGACUCCCUGUGUUGUCAUUUGAGCUCAAGUCUUCUCUUGUGUGCGUGGGUGUGCUGUGAUUUGUGUCUUGUGUGUGUUGCUCAUCCCAACCUUACUCCGUGCUUUCAUUGUGAUCUUUGUUGUAAGGGCGAGAGACUCCAAUCUUGUGGAGAUUCCACGCAAAUGGGAAUAAUCAUCUAAAGGAAAAACCGUGGUAUUCAAGUUGAUCAUCAGAUCACUUGAAAGGGGUUGAGUGCAACCCUCGUCCAUUGGGACGCCACAACGUGGAAGUAGGCAAGUGUUACUUGGCCGAACCACGGGAUAAAAUCGCAUGUCUUGUGUUGAUCUCUCUGUGAUUAUUUGUGUUCACAAGAACUCGCUUCAAGUUAUUUAGCCGUACUAACACUCAUAACUAAGUUUUGUGGCUAUUAGUGUUUGAAUUUUACAGGAUCACCUAUUCACCCCCCUCUAGGUGCUCUCAAUUGGUAUCAGAGUCGUACUCUUCAUCUAAGGGACUAAUCGCCCGAAGAGAUGGAUCCUAAGGUAAAGGGGAUGGUGGUCAAUGACAAAGAGAAGGAGUCCCUCUUCAAUGAGCCAAGGGAUGACAAACCCACUGACUCAGGAUUGAGUCACAAGAAGAGGGACGGGAAAAAGAAGAGGCACAUCAAGAAGAUCAUUUACUACGACAGCGAUGCCUCCUCUUCUUCACCAAGAGACAACGACGAUGAUGACUCGUCGAAAAAGAGAACAGUUAAUCAAAACUACUCUUUUGACUAUUCUCGCAUGCCUUACAAUUCUAAUGCUCAUUUGCUAUCAAUUCCACUUGGGAAACCUCCCCACUUUGAUGGAGAAGAUUAUUCUUUCUGGAGUCAUAAAAUGCGUAGUCAUUUAUUUUCUCUCCAUCCUAGUAUUUAGGAAGUUGUCUGUUGGGGACUUGUUCUCAAAUGCUAAGAGUUUAAGAACAAGGCAACAUAGAAAGUGUUAAAUAUUAAAGUCCUUUGUCCUUCGAAGCAUUAUCUCCCUUCGGAUAUAAUGAAUUCCGGACGAAGGUUAUGAAGGGAAAACCUUCGUAAGCACAAUAAAUGAUGAAGAAGGAUUCAUAUGCAAGAUAUGAAAAAUAACAUAAACACUUUUAACAUUAUUAUCAACUUAUUUUUAUUUGUGUUACUAUAUCAACAAUAAUAAAUUAUAAAUGUACCUUCGGUUCAAAGGAAAGCAAGGGUACAAGCGUGAUGCGAAAGCGAAUGCCAAGUCAGCGUGAACAGUACGGGAGUACUGUUCAUCUAUUUAUAGGCACGGGUCGCAGCCCAUGCAAAAUUACAUUCAGACCCUUUGCUUUUGAUAAUAAUUCUAUAGUAAUCUAUCAGGGUCUAAAUAGUCUUUUCCUCUUUAAGUCGGUUUCCUCUUUUCUGCCAUCACGCCGAAGCUUCCUUGCGCAUAGCUUCGGCUCUGUUCCAUCCUUCGUUCUUGUUUCGUGCUUCUUCACGCUAUGGUUUCAAUUCAAGUCCGAAGGUACCUGUUCAUGCUUUAUACUUCCAGAAACAUUGUUAAAUCAUAUUUUUGAGGACCUUCGGAAGCCGAAGGCCCCCAACAUUGUCAAAAACGGAAUGCACUUUGAUAGUACUGACAAUGCCGUUGUUAUAAAUGAGCAAAUUCAUAAGAAUGCCCAAGCUACUACUGUGUUGCUAGCAUCUCUUUGUAGGGUUGAGUAUAAUAAGGUGAGUGGCUUGGACAAUGCCAAGCAAAUUUGGGAUACCCUCAAGAUAUCACAUGAGCAUGAUCACCAAAAUGGAGUUGGUGGAAGGCGAGCUAGGAAGAUUUGCUGUGAUCAGGGGAGAGGAGCCAACUCAGACCUACAACAGGCUCAAGACCCUCAUCAACAAGAUUAGAAGCUAUGGAAGCACAAGAUGGACGGACCACGACGUUGUCCGACUCAUGCUAAGGUCAUUCACGAUAAUUGACCCCCAUCUUGUCAAUCUUAUUCGUGAAAAUCCCAGGUACACCAAGAUGACACCCGAGGAGAUUCUUGGAAAAUUCGUGAGCAGGCGCAUGAUGGUGAAAGAAGCACGAUAUGUAGACGAUGCGCUUAAUGGUCCACUACCCGUCUACGAGCCACAACCCGUUGCUCUCAAAGCAACAAGCAGCAAGGAGGCGCUACAAAGCAAGGUGGCACAAGUUGAGGCUGCCGGGCUAAACGAAGAUGAGAUGGCCCUAAUCAUCAAGCGCUUCAAGACCGCACUGAAAGGACGCAAGGAGUACCCUAGCAAGAACAAAGCAAAGGGAAAGCGCUCCUGUUUUAAAUGCGGUAAGACUGGUCAUUUCAUAGAUCAAUGCCCCGAUAAUGAUAAUGACCAGGAACAAGAAAAGUAUGGGAAGAAAAAGAAGAAGAAGAAUUACAAGAAGGCGAAGGGUGAGGCACAUCUUGGAAAGGAAUGGAACUUCAACUGCUCUUCAUCCGACUCUGAUGAUGAAGGAUUGGCUGCCUCAGCCUUCGACAAAUCUUCGCUCUUCCCCAACGAACACCAUAUGUGCCUUAUGGCUAAGGAAAAGAAGGUAUGUAUUCGAAACACUCCCAAGUAUACUUCUUCUUGUGAUGAAGAGUCAUCUGAUGAUGAAGUAGACUAUACCGAUUUGUUUAAAGGCUUAGAUAGAAACAAAGUAGACAAAAUUAAUGAAUUAAUUCAUGCCCUUAAUGAAAAGGAUAGAUUGCUAGAGAAGCAAGAUGGCAUUUUAUAUGAAGAACAUGACAAAUUUGUUAGUGUACAAAAAUCUCUUGCUUUAGAAACUAAGAGAAAUGAAGUGCUAUCUUCUGAAUUAUCUGCUUGCCAUGAAUCUAUCUAUAGUUUAAAGAUUUUGAAUGAUGAUUUAAAUGCUAAGCUAGAGGAAGCUAAUAAAUCUAGUUCAUGUGUAGAGCAUGUUGUUAUUUGCAAUAGAUGCAAGGACUUUGAUGUUAAUUAUUGUGAUAAACACCUUAUUUCUAUUGCUAAUCUAAAUGAUGAUGUGGCAAGUCUUAAUGCUCAACUUAAGACUUGCAAAAUUGAUUUUGAUAAAUUAAAAAUUUGCUAGGGAUGCCAACACUAUGGUAGACACUCCUCUAUUAAGGAUGGACUUGGUUUUCGAAAGGAAACCAAGAACUUAACAAGCCAAAAGGCUCCCGUUCUCAACAAGGAGAAAGGGAAGGCUCCUAUGGCUAGUAGUUCUCAAAAGUGUCAUGCCUACAUUUAUGAUAGAAAAUUUUCUAGGAAUGCUCAUAGGAGUAAUGAUCAUGAUGCUUUUAAUUCACAUGCUAUGUUUGCCUCUAGCUCUACUUUUGUUCAUGAUAGAAGUAGGCCUAGGAGAAAUCAUGUUGUGCAUCAUGUGCCUAGGAAAGUGUGUAAUGAAUCUACUAUCAUUUACCAUGCUUGCAAUACUUCAUUUGUGCUUUUAUGUAAGAAUGAAAAAGUAGUUGCUAGAAAGUUGGAAUUCAAAUGCAAGGGAGACAAGACUUGUAUUUGGAUUCCAAAGGCUAUUGUAACUAACCUUGUAGGACCCAACAAUAGUUGGGUACCUAAUACCCAAGUGUAAAUUGACUUGCAGGUUUAUGCAUCCGGGGGCUCAAGCUGGAUUAUCGACAGCGGAUGCACAAACCACAUGACAGGGGAGAAGAAGAUGUUCACCUCCUACGUCAAGAACAAGGAUUCCCAGGAUUCGAUCAUCUUUGGAGAUGGGAACCAAGGCAAGGUCAAAGGAUUGGGGAAGAUAGCCAUUACAUCCGAGCAUUCUACCUCCAAUGUGUUCUUAGUUGAAUCGCUCGGGUACAACUUAUUGUAUGUGAGUCAAUUAUGUAACAUGGGUUAUAAUUGUCUAUUUACCAAUAUAGAUGUAUCUGUCUUUAGAAGGAGUGAUGGUUCAUUAGCUUUUAAGGGUGUAUUAGACGACAAACUCUACUUAGUUGAUUUUUCGAAAGAGGAGGUCGAUCUAGAUGCAUGCUUAAUAGCUAAGACUAGUAUGGGCUGGCUGUGGCAUCACCGUCUAGCACAUGUUGGGAUGAAGAACCUUCGCAAACUUCUAAAGGGAGAACAUGUGUUAGGACUAACUAAUGUUUUCUUCGAGAAAGAUAGACCUUGUGCAGCUUGUUAGGCAGGGAAACAGGUGGGAAGCACUCAUCACAGCAAGAAUGUGAUGACAACAUCAAGACCACUAGAGCUUCUUCACAUGGACCUCUUCGGACCCGUCGCCUACCUUAGCAUCGGGGGAAGUAAGUAUGGUCUUGUAGUUGUUGAUGACUUUUCCCGCUUCACUUGGGUGUUCUUUCUGCAGGAUAAAUCAGAAACCCAAGGGACCCUAAAGCGCUUUCUAAGGAGGGCUCAAAACGAAUUUGAGCUAAAGGUGAAAAAGAUAAGGAGCGACAACGGGUCCGAGUUCAAGAACCUACAAGUUGAAGAGUAUCUUGAGGAGGAAGGCAUCAAGCACGAGUUCUCCGCUCCCUACACACCACAACAAAAUGGUGUGGUAGAGAAGAAGAACAGGACGCUUAUCGACAUGGCAAGGACGAUGCUAGGAGAGUUCAAGACGCCCAAGCGGUUUUGGUCGGAAGCUAUGAACACAUCUUGCCACGCCAUUAACCGGCUCUAUAUGCAUCGCCUCCUCAAGAAGACCUCAUACGAACUUCUGACCAGUAAGAAACCCAACGUUUUUUACUUUCGUGUAUUUGGGAGCAAAUGUUACAUUCUGGUGAAGAAAGGUAGACAUUCCAAAUUUGCUCCCAAGGCAGUAGAAGUGUUUUUAAUAGGGUAUGACUCAAAUAAAAAGGCGUAUAGGGUCUUCAGCAAAUCAUCGGGUUUGGUUGAAGUCUCUAGCGAUAUUGUAUUGAUGAGACUAAUGGCUCUCCAAGAGAACAAGUUGAUCUUGAUGACAUAGAUGAAGAUGAUGUUCCAACAGCCGCAAUGCGCACGAUGGCGAUAGGAGAGGUGCGACCACAGGAACAAUAGGAGCAAGAUCAACCAUCUUCCUCUUCAAUGGUGCAUCCCCCAACUCAAGAUGAUGGACAGGUCCCUCGAGAAGAGGCGCGUGAUCAAGGGGGAGCACAAGAAGAACAAGUUAUGGAGGAAGAAGCACCACUGGCCCCUCCAACUCAAGUCCGAGCGACGAUCCAAAGAAAUCACCCCGUCGAUCAGAUUCUGGGUGACAUAAGCAAGGGAGUAACAACUCGCUCACGUUUAGCUAAUUUUUGUGAGCAUUACUCGUUUGUCUCUUCUAUUGAGCCUUUCAGGGUAGAAGAGGCCCUGCAGGAUCUGGACUGGGUGUUGGCUAUGCAGGAAGAACUCAACAACUUUAAGAGGAACGAAGUUUGGAGCCUGGUGCCACGUCCAAAGCUAAAUGUUGUGGGAACCAAGUGGGUGUUCGGCAACAAGCAAGACGAGCAUGGAGUGGUGACAAGAAACAAGGCUCGACUUGUGGAAAAAGGUUAUGCCCAAGUCGCGGGUUUGGAUUUCGAGGAGACUUUUGCUCCUGUGGCUAGGCUAGAGUCUAUUCGAAUAUUAUUAGCAUAUGCCGCUCACCACUCUUUCAGGUUGUUUCAAAUGGAUGUGAAGAGCGCUUUCCUCAAUGGGUCAAUCAAGGAGGAGGUAUACGUGGAUCAACCCCCUGGCUUUGAGGAUGACAGGUACCCCGACCAUGUGUUUAAGCUCUCAAAGGCGCUCUAUGGACUUAAGCAAGCCCCAAGAGCAUGGUAUGAAUGCCUUAGAGAUUUCUUAAUUGCUAAUGCUUUCAAGGUUGGGAAAGCCGAUCCCACUCUUUGAGAGCACCUAAAGGGGGGGGGGGUGAAUAGGUGAUCCUGUAAAAUUCAACACUAAUAGCCACAAAACUUGUUAUGUAAGUUAGAACGACUAAGUGGCUUGAAGCGAGUUCUUGUGAACACAGAUAAUCAAAGGUAAAGCACACAACAUACACGCGAUUUUUAUCUCGUGGUUCGGCCAAGUAAUACUUGUCUACUUCCAGGUUAUGGCGUCCCAAUGGACGAGGGUUGCACUCAACCCCUUUCAAGUGAUCCAAUGAUCAACUUGAAUACCACGGUUUUUCCUUUCUUUGUCUUUCUCCCGUUUGCGAGGAAUCUCCACAACUUGGAGCCUCUCGCCCUUAUAAUGAUGAUCACAAAAGAUGUACGGAAGUAAGGGAGGGAAGAGCAACACACACAAGACUCAAAUCACAGCGCAAUCAUGCACACAAGUCACAACUCGAGCUCAAAACACAACCCACGGAGUUCACAACUCAAAUGGAGCUCAAGUCACUAUCUCAAAGAAUCAAAUACACGAAGUUGGAGUCUUGGAGGCUUAGAAUGUUGUUUGAAUGCUUGGGUGUCUUCUUCAUGCGCCUAGGGGUCCCUUUUAUAGCCCCAAGGUAGCUAGGAGCCGUUGGAGGCCAACAAAGAAGGCUAUCCUUGCCUUCUGUUGGGUGGCGCAUCGGACAGUCCGGUGUGCCACCAGACAGUCACUGUAGAUGGUCCGGUGCGGAUCCCCUUCCUAUUCUGGUGCAGACGACCAUUGCAACGCCGAGCCAGUUGGCGCACCGGACACUGUCCGGUGCACACCGGACAGUCCGGUGCCCCUGCUGACCGUUGGCACAGGCCACGCGUCGCCCACGGAUUGCGCGGCCGACCGUUGCGCUGGCUGCCAUUGGCUCACCGGACAGUCUGGUGCUGCACUGGACAGUCCGGUGAAUUAUAGCCGUACGCCACCGAUUUUUCCCGAGAGUGGCCUGUUCACCGGAGGCUAACCUGGCGCACCAGACACUGUCCGGUGUGCCAAGCCGAGCUAGAAUUUGGAUGUACCAAGCCAAGUCUUUUGCAUUUCUUUUCUUCUCUUCUUUUCUCUGUUUCUAGCACUUAGACAAUAUAUGUUAGUACUCAAAACAAUGUACUAAGUCUAGAAACAUACCUUGUUACAUGAUUUGCAUUUCUUGCUUGUUUGGCACAUAAUCAACUCACUUAAUAUGUGUUGGGCACUUACUCACCAAAACAUUAUUGAAAUGGACCAAGGGCACAUUUCCCUUUAAAUCUCCCCCUUUUUGGUGAUUUAUGCCAACACAUCAAAAAGCAACGCAAAACAUGCAACAUCGAUUCAAAUUGAAGACCAAAUUGUUUUUUACUCUAAUUUGGCAUAUUUAGAUCAUUAUUUGCCACCACUUGGUUUGUUUUUGCAAAUCAAAUUUAUUUUCCUAUCUCUAAGUCAAACUCACUUGUUUGGGCAUAGACAGAGAUAUUCCAAAAGUGAAAUUGAUCAAGAUCCAAAAACUCCCCCUUUUUGUCAUAAUCGAAAAUUCUCCCCCACAAGAGGCCAAAUUUUGCAAUAAGGGUAUUUAGGCAAAUCAAAAAUUCUAACUCUACUAUUUUCAAAAUUCGCAAGUGGUAGCUGAUCCAUUUGCUUUGGCCUUAAUUUCUCCCCCUUUGGCAUUAAGCACCAAAACGGGAUCAUUUUUGGCCCUUUAACCCCAUUGCCUCACCAAACUUGUCAAUUGAGAGCAAAAGGCAAUAAGAGCAUGAGAAUGAACGUGGAGGUGAGUACACUAAUACCGGAGUGUAGUGGAAGUCUUUGCAUGGUCCAAGUUCACCUUUCCCUUUCAAUGCACCUUUGAGACUACAUCAAGUACACUUAAACACAAAGGUUAGUCUCAAAGGGUCAAGUUGUAGCACAUCUCCCCCUAAAUGUGUGCAUCAUUCACACAUGGACUUUUGAGGUCCGGGGAUCCCUUGCACAACUUGAGCACCAUAAAUAAUCAACAAAUUUCAUAAAUGCAUAAGGUAACUUGAUCAAAGGCAUAAAACACAUGUAUGCUAUAAAUCAAUCCAAGUUACGCAAAUCUAAGACAUUUAGCUCACUACGCAGCCUGCAAAAGGUUUUUCAUCUAAUGGCUUGGUAAAGAUAUCGGCUAGCUGGUUCUCGGCGCUAAUAUGGAAAACCUCGAUAUCUCCCUUUUGCUGGUGGUCUCUCAGAAAGUGAUGUCGGAUGUCUAUGUGCUUAGUGCGGUUGUGUUCAACAGGAUUAUCCGCCAUGCGGAUUGCACUCUCAUUGUCACAUAGGAGUGGGACUUUGCUUAGAUUGUAGCCAAAGUCCCGGAGGGUUUGCCUCAUCCAAAGUAGGUGCGCUCAACACUGUCAUGUGGCAACAUACUCGGCCUCAGCGGUGGAUAGGGCAAUGGAGGUUUGUUUCUUUGAACUCCAAGACACCAGGGACCUUCCUAGGAAUUGGCACGUCCCUGAUGUACUCUUCCUAUCAACCUUGCAUCCAGCAUAAUCCGAGUCUGAAUAUCCAAUCAAGUCAAAGGUAGACCCCUUUGGAUACCAGAUCCCGAAGCAAGGCGUAGAGACUAAAUAUCUAAGAAUCCGCUUAACAGCCACAAGGUGGCAUUCCCUUGGGUCGGAUUGAUAUCUAGCACACAUGCAUACGCUAAGCAUAAUAUACGGUCUACUAGCACAUAAAUAAAGCAAUGACCUUAUCAUAGACCAGUAUGCCUUUUGAUCAAUGGACUUACCUCCUUUGUUGAGGUCGACAUGUCCGUCGGUUCCCAUAGGUGUCUUUGCGGGCUUAGUGUCCUUCAUCCCAAACCGCAUGGGAAGAUCUUGAGUGUACUUCGUUUGGGAGAUGAAGGUGCCAUCCUUGAGUUGCUUCACUUGGAACCCAAGGAAGUAGUUCAACUCGCCCAUCAUUGACAUCUCAAAUUUCUGAGUCAUCACCCUGCUAAACUCCUCACAAGACUUUUGAUUAGUAGAACCAAAUAUUAUGUCAUCGACAUAAAUUUGGCACACAAAAAGGUCACCAUUACAAGUCUUAGUGAAAAGAGUGGGAUCAGCUUUCCCAACCUUGAAAGAAUUAGCAAUUAAGAAAUCUCUAAGGCAUUCAUACCAUGCUCUUGGGGCUUGCUUAAGUCCAUAGAGCGCCUUAGAGAGCUUACACACAUGGUGGGGGUACCUGUCAUCCUCAAAGUCAGGGGGUUGUUCCACGUACACCUCCUCCUUUAUUGGCCCGUUGAGAAAAGCGCUCUUCACAUCCAUUUGAAACAACCUAAAAGAGUGGUGAGCGGCAUAGGCUAAUAAUAUUCUAAUAGACUCUAGCCUCGCCAUUGGAGCAAAAGUCUCCUCGAAAUCCAAACCUGCGACUUGGGCAUAACCUUUUUGCUACAAGUCGAGCCUUGUUUCUUGUCACCACUCUAUGCUCGUCUUGCUUGUUGCGGAACACCCACUUGGUUCCCACAACGUUUUGCUUUGGACGUGGCACCAGGCUCCAAACUUCAUUUCUCUUGAAGUUGUUGAGCUGUUCCUGCAUGGCCAACACCCAGUCCGGGUCUUGCAAGGCCUCUUCUACCCUGAAAGGCUCAAUAGAAGAGACAAACGAGUAAUGCUCACAAAAAUUAGCUAAUCUUGAGCGAGUAGUUACUCCCUUGCUUAUGUCACCCAGAAUCUGAUCGACGGGGUGAUUUCUUUGAAUCGUCGCUCGGACUUGAGUUGGAGGGGCCGGUGGUGCUUCUUCCUCCAUAGCUUGUUCUUCUUGUGCUCCCCCUUGAUCACACGCCUCUUCUUGAGGAACCUGUCCAUCAUCUUGAGUAGGGGGAUGCACCAUUAUUGAGGAAGAAGGUUGAUCUUGCUCUUGUUGUUCCUGUGGUCGCACAUCUCCAAUUGCCAUGGUGCGUAUUGCUGCCGUCGGAACAUCAUCUUCAUUUAUGUCAUCAAGAUCAACUUGCUCUCUUGGAGAGCCAUUAGUCUCAUAAAAUACAACAUCGCUAGAGACUUCAACCAAAGCCGAUGAUUUGUUGAAGACUCUAUAUGCCUUUGUAUUUGAGUCAUACCCUAGUAAAAACCCUUCUACAGCUUUGGGAGCAAAUUUUGAAUGUCUACCUUUCUUCGCCAAAAUAUAGCAUUUUCUCCCAAAUACACGAAAGUAAGAGACAUUGGGUUUGUUAUCGGUAAGGAGUUCGUAGGAGGUCUUCUUGAGGAGAUGAUGCAGAUAGAGCCGGUUUAUGGCGUGGCAAGCUGUGUUCACAGCUUCCGACCAAAACCGCUCGAGCAUCUUAAACUCUCCAAGCAUCGUCCUCACCAUGUCGAUAAGUGUCCUGUUCUUCCUCUCUACUACACCAUUUUGCUGUGGUGUGUAGGGAGCGGAGAACUCAUUCUUGACACCUUCCUCCUCAAGAUACUCCUCAACUUGUAAGUUCUUGAACUCGGACCCGUUGUUGCUUCUUAUCUUUUUCACCUUGAGCUCAAAUUCGUUUUGAGCCCUCCUUAGAAAGCGCUUUAGGGUCCCUUGGGUUUCUGAUUUAUCCUGCAAAAAGAACACCCAAGUGAAGCGGGAAAAGUCAUCUACAAUUACAAGACCAUACUUACUUCCUCCGAUGCUAAGGUAGGCGACGGGUCCGAAGAGGUCCAUGUGAAGAAGCUCCAGUGGUCUUGAUGUUGUCAUCACAUUCUUACUGUGAUGAGUGCUUCCCACCAGUUUCCCUGCCUGACAAGUUGCACAAGGUCUGUCUUUCUCGAAGCAGACAUUGGUUAGUCCUAACACAUGUUCUCCCUUUAGAAGUUUAUGAAGGUUCUUCAUCCCGACAUGUGCUAGACGAUGAUGCCACAACCAGCUCAUGCUAGUCUUAGCUAUUAAGCAUGCAUCUAGAUCGACCUCUUCUCUCGAAAAAUCAACUAAGUAGAGUUUGUUGUCUAAUACACCCUUAAACGCUAAUGAACCAUCACUCCUUUCUAAAGACAGAAACAUCUAUAUUUGUAAAUAGACAAUUAUAACCCAUGCUACAUAAUUGACUCACGGACAAUAGGUUGUACCCGAGCGAUUCAACUAAGAACACAUUGGAGAUUGAAUGCUCGGAUGUAAUGGCUAUCUUUCCCAAUCCUUUAACCUUGCCUUGGUUCCCAUCUCCAAAGAUGAUCGAAUCUUGGGAAUCCUUGUUCUUGACGUAGGAGGUAAACAUCUUCUUCUCCCCCGUCAUGUGGUUUGUGCAUCCGCUGUCGAUAAUCCAGCUUGAGCCCCCGGAUGCAUAAACCUGCAAGGUAAUUGACACUUGGGUUUUAGGUACCCAACUCUUGUUGGGUCCUACAAGCUUAGUCACAAUAGCCUUUGGAACCCAAAUACAAGUCUUAUCUCCCUUGCAUUUGGAUCCCAACUUCCUAGCAACUAUUUUUUCAUUCUUACAACAAAUUGCAAAAGAAGUAUUGCAAGCAUGGUAAAUAGUAGAAGGUUCAUUACAUACUUUCCUAGGCACAUGAUGCACAACAUGAUUUCUCCUAGGCUUACUUCUACCAUGCACAAAAGUAGAGCUAGAAGCAAACAUAGCAUGUGAAUUAAACGCAUUAUAACUCCUAUUAUAAUGAGCGUUUCUAGAAAAUUUUCUAUCAUAAAUGUAAGCAUGACAUUUUUUAGAACUACUAGCCAUAGGAGCCUUCUCUUUCUCCUUGUUGAGAACGGGAGUCUUUUGGCUUGUUAAGUUCCUGGUUUCCUUUCGAAAACCAAGUCCAUCCUUAAUAGAGGGGUGUCUACCAAUAGCAUAGGCAUCCCUAGCAAAUUUUUGCUUAUCAAAAUCAACCUUGCAAGUCUUAAGUUGAGCAUUAAGACUUGCCACCUCAUCACUUAAUUUAGUAAUGGACGUAAGAUGUUCAUCACAAGCAUCAAUAUCAAAAUCCUUGCAUCUAUUGCAAAUUACAACAUGUUCUACACAUGAACUAGAUUGAUUAGCUACCUCUAACUUAGCAUUUAAAUCAUCAUUUAAAAUCUUUAACCUAGAGAUAGAUUCAUGGCAAGCAGAUAAUUUAGAAGAUAGCAUCUCAUUUCUCUUAGUUUCUAAAGCAAGAGAUUUUUGCGCACUAACAAAUUUAUCAUGCUCUUCAUACAAAAUAUCCUCUUGCUUUUCUAAAAGUCUAUCCUUUUCAUUUAAAGCAUCAAUUAGUUCAUUAAUCUUUUCUACUUUAGCUCUAUCUAAUCCUUUGAACAAGGUAGAGUAAUCUACUUCAUCAUCACUAGAAUCCUCAUCACUAGAAGUAGAGUACUUGGGGGAAUCUCGAACACUCACCUUCUUUUCCUUGGCCAUAAGGCAGGUGUGGCAUUCGUUGGGGAAGAGCGAAGAUUUGUUGAAGGCCGAGGCUGCCAGUCCUUCAUCGUCGGAGUCGGAUGAAGAGUAGUCAGAAUCCCAUUCUUUACCAAGGUGCGCCUUGCCCUUCGCCUUCUUAUAGACCUUCUUCUUCUCCCUCUUCCCGUGCUUUUCUUGUUCAUGGUCAUCAUCAUUAUCGGGGCAUUGUGCUAUGGAAUGACCAGUGUUACCGCAUUUGAAGCAGGAGCGCUUUCCCCUUGCUUUGUUCUUGUUGGGGUACUCCUUGCGUCCUUUCAAUGCGGUCUUGAAGCGCUUGAUGAUAAGCGCCAUCUCAUCUUCAUUGAGGCCCGCGGCCUCCACUUGUGCCACCUUGCUUGGUAGCUUCUCCCUAUUGCUGGUUGCUUUGAGGGCAAUGGUUUGAGGCUCGUGGACGGGUAGUGGUCCGUUUAGAGCAUCGUCCACAUAUCGAGCCUCUUUUACCAUCAUGCGCCCGCUCACAAACUUCCCAAGAAUCUCCUCGGGCGUCAUCUUGGUGUACCUGGGAUUCUCACGAAUAAGGUUGACAAGAUGAGGGUCAAUUACCAUAAAUGACCUUAGCAUUAGUCGAACGACGUCGUGGUCCGUCCAUCUUGUGCUUCCAUAGCUCCUAAUCUUGUUGACCAGGGUCUUGAGCCUGUUGUAUGUUUGUGUUGGCUCCUCUCCCCUGAUCAUCGCGAAUCUUCCCAGUUCGCCUUCCACCAACUCCAUCUUGGUGAUCAUGGUGGUGUCGUUUCCCUCGUGUGAUAUCUUGAGGGUAUCCCAAAUUUGCUUGGCGUUGUCUAAGUCGCUCACCUUGUUGUAUUCAUCCCUGCACAAAAAUGCUAGCAACACAGUGGUAGCUUGUGCAUUCUUAUGAAUUUGUUCAUUAAUAAACACGGGGUUAUCCGUACUAUCAAAAUGCAUUCCAUUUUCAACUAUCUCCCAAAUACUAUGAUGGAGAUAAAAUAAGUGACUACACAUUUUGUGACUCCAAAAAGAGUAGUCUUUUCCAUCAAAGUGUGGAGGUUUACCAAGAGGAAUUGAAAGCAAGUGAGCAUUGGAAUUAAACGGAAUACGAGAAUAAUCAAAUGAAUAGUUUUGAUUAACCGGUUUCUUUUUAGACGAGUCAUCGUCGUUGUCGUCUCUUGGUGAAGAAGAGGAGGCGUCGUUGUCGUAGUAAAUGAUCUUCUUGAUCUGCCUCUUCUUCUUCCCGUCCCUCUUCUUGUGACUUGAUCCUGAGUCAGUGGGUUGUCGUCCCUUGGCUCGUUGAAGAUGGACUCCUUCUCCUUGUCGUUGACCAUCAUCCCCUUUCCAUUAGGAUCCAUCUCUUCGGGCGAUUAGUCCCUUAGAUGAAGAGAACGGCUCCGAUACCAAUUGAGAGCACCUAGAGGGGGGGGGGGUUGAAUAGGUGAUCCUGUAAAAUUCAACACUAAUAGCCACAAAACUUGUUAUGUAAGUUAGAACGACUAAGUGGCUUGAAGCGAGUUCUUGUGAACACAGAAAAUCAAAGGUAAAGCACACAAGAGACACGCGAUUUUUAUCCUGUGGUUUAGCCAAGUAAUACUUGCCUACUUCCACGUUGUGGCGUCCCAAUGGACGAGGGUUGCACUCAACCCCUUUCAAGUGAUCCAAUGAUCAACUUGAAUACCACAGUUUUUCCUUUCUUUGUCUUUCUCCCGUUUGCGAGGAAUCUCCACAACUUGGAGCCUCUCGCCCUUACAAUGAUGAUCACAAAAGAUGUACGGAAGUAAGGGAGGGAAGAGCAACACACACAAGACUCAAAUCACAGCACAAUCAUGCACACAAGUCACAACUCGAGCUCAAAACACAACCCACGGAGUGCACAACUCAAAUGGAGCUCAAGUCACUAUCUCAAAGAAUCAAAUGCGCGAAGUUGGAGUCUUGGAGGCUUAGAAUGUUUCUUGAAUGCUUGGGUGUCUCCUUCAUGCGCCUAGGGGUCCCUUUUAUAGCCCCAAGGCAGCUAGGAGCCGUUGGAGGCCAAUAAGGAAGGUUAUCCUUGCCUUCUAUCGGGUGGCGCACCGGACAGUCCGGUGUGCCACCGGACAGUCACUGUAGACGGUCCGGUGCGGAUCCCCUUCCUAUUCUGGCACAGACAACCGUUGCAGCGCCGAGCCAGUUGGCGCAUCGGACACUUUCCGGUGCACACCGGACAGUCCGGUGCCCCUGCCGACCGUUGGCGCGGGCCACGCGUCGCCCGCGGAUUGCGCGGCCGACCGUUGCGCUGGCGGCCGUUGGCUCACCGGGCAGUCCGAUGCAGCACCGGACAGUCCGGUGAAUUAUAGCCGUACGCCACCGAUUUUUCCCGAGAGUGGCCUGUUCAUCGGAGGCUGGCCUGGUGCACCGGACACUGUCUGGUGCACCACCGGACAGUCCGAUGUGCCAAGCCGAGCUGGAAUUUGGCUGUACCAAGCCAAGUCUUUUGCAUUUCUUUUCUUCUCUUCUUUUCUCUGUUUCUAGCACUUAGACAAUAUAUGUUAGUACUCAAAACAAUGUACUAAGUCUAGAAACAUACCUUGUUACAUGAUUUGCACUUCUUGCUUGUUUGGCACAUAAUCAACUCACUUAAUAUGUGUUGGGCACUUACUCACCAAAACAUUAUAGAAAUGGCCCAAGGGCACAUUUCCCUUUCACUCUUUUCACUAAGACUUGUGAUGGUGAUCUUUUUGUGUGCCAAAUUUAUGUCGAUGACAUAAUAUUCGGUUCUACUAACCAAAAGUCUUGUGAGGAGUUUAGCAGAAUGAUGACUCAAAAGUUUGAGAUGUCGAUGAUGGGCGAGUUGAACUACUUCCUUGGGUUCCAAGUGAAGCAACUCAAGGACGACACUUUCAUCUCCCAAACGAAGUACACUCAAGAUCUUCUUAAGCGGUUUGGGAUGAAGGACGCCAAGCCCGCGAAGACACCAAUGGGAACCGACGGGCAUGUCGACCUCAACAAAGGGGGUAAGUCCGUUGAUCAAAAGGCAUACCGGUCUAUGAUAGGGUCAUUACUUUAUUUAUGUGCUAGUAGACCGGAUAUUAUGCUUAGCGUAUGCAUGUGUGCUAGAUAUCAAUCUGACUCCAGGGAAUGUCACCUUGUGGCCGUUAAGCGAAUUCUUAGAUAUUUAGUUUCUAUGCCUUGCUUCGAGAUCUGGUAUCCAAAGGGGUCUACCUUUGACUUGAUUGGAUAUUCAGACUCCGAUUAUGCUCGAUGCAAUGUUGAUAGGAAGAGUACAUCAGGGACGUGCCAAUUCCUAGGAAGGUCCCUGGUGUCUUGGAGUUCAAAGAAACAAACCUCUGUUGCUCUAUCCACCGUUGAGGCCGAGUAUGUUGCCGCAGGACAGUGUUGCACGCACCUACUUUGGAUGAGGCAAACCCUCAUGGACUUUGGCUACAAUCUGAGCAAAGUCCCACUCCUAUGUGACAAUGAGAGUGCAAUCCGCAUGGCGGAUAAUCCUGUUGAACACAACCGCACUAAGCACAUAGACAUCCGACAUCACUUUCUGAGAGACCACCAGCAAAAGGGAGAUAUCGAGGUGUACCAUAUUAGCACCAAGAACCAGCUAACUGAUAUCUUCACCAAGCCGUUGGAUGAGAAAACCUUUUGCAGGUUGUGUGGUAAGCUAAAUGUCUUAGAUUCGCGUAACUUGGAUUGAUCUAUAGCAUACAUGUGUUCUAUGCCUUUGAUCAUGUUACUUUAUGCAUUUAUAUGAUUUGUUGCUUAUUUAUGGUGCUCAAGUUGUGCAAGGGAUCCCUGGACCUCAUAAGUCCAUGUGUGAAUGAUGCAUAUAUUUAGGGGGAGAAGUGCUAUAACUUGACCCUUUGAGACUAACCUUUGUGUUUGAGUAUACUUGAUAUAGUCUCAAAGGUGCAUUGAAAGGGAAAGGUGAACUUGGACCAUGCAAAGACUUUCACUGCACUCUGGUAUUUGUGUACUCACCUCCAAGUUCAUACUUAAGCUCUCAUUGCCACUUUGCUCUUAAUUGACAUUUUUGGUGAGGCAAUGGGGUUAAGAGGCCAAGAAUGAUCCUGUUUUGGUGCUUAAUGCCAAAGAGAGAGAAAUUAAGGCCAAAGCAAAUGGAUCAGCUACCACUUGUGAAUUUUGAAAAAAAUAAAGUUAGAACUUUUGAUUUGUCCAAAAUACUCUUAUUGCAAAAUUUGGUCUCUUGUGGGGGAGAAUUUUGAUUAUGGGAAAAGGGGGAGUUUUUGGCACUUGAUCAAUUUCACUCUUGGAAUAUUUCUCUUUGUGCCCAAACAAGUGAGUUUGACUUAGAGAAAGGAAAAUGAAUUUGAUUUGCAAAAACAAACCAAGUGGUGGCAAAAAAUGAUCCAAAUAUGCCAAAUUAGAGUCGAAUACAAUUUGGUCCUCAUUUGCAUUGAUGUUGCACUUAUUUUGGUUGCUUUUUGAUGUGUUGGCAUAAAUCACCAAAAAGAGGGAGAUUGAAAGGGAAAUGUGCCCUUGGGCCAUUUCUAUAAUAUUUUGGUGAUUAAGUGUCCAAUACAUAGUAAGUGAUUAGCUAUGUGCCAAACAAACAAGAAGUGCAAAUCAUGUAACAAGUAGGGCUGGAUGAAAUACUCGUGGCUCGUUGGCUCGCUCGGCUCGUAGCCUGCUCAGCUCAGCUCGGAUCGGAUCGUUUAAAUUUUUACACGAGCUGAGCCAGCGUCUCAGCUUGGUUUCUUAACGAGCCAGCUCGAGCUGAGCUCGAGCCAGCUCGCGAGCUAACCGAGCUACCACAUUGCAGCAUACCGAUUCGGGCCGGCCUUUCACAGUUUCACUUCUUUGGCCCAUCAGCUGUAAGCCCAGGCCCAGCGCUCACCGCUCAAACAGGCAAACGGCCACGGGCCAUCGCUCUAGGCUCCAAUCUAGCACUCCAGCGUCAGCCGCUCCCACAGUCCCGCUCAGCCACGCCCGCGCGCAAACCAUAGUCGGUGUCUUGGCGAUGGCCGACGGCGGCUCGGCGGUGAUGGCUCGGCGCUCCAAGCCUCCACUCGUCUCCACCGACCACCGGUCAGCGGUCCAGGCUGCGCCGCGGCGCAGCGUUAGCGGGCAGCGGCCAACCGGCCACCGGCAUCACGCGCGGCCGCGCGCCCAAACGGCCACUUCUCCAAGCUCCAGUCCAGCUCCAGCACUCCAGCGUCAGCACUCAGCCGCUCUCGUAGUCCCGCAUAGUCGCGCCCGCACGCAAACCCUAGUUGGUGUCUCGGCGACGGCCGACGGUGACUCGGCGGAUCGGUGCUCCAAGCCUCCACUCGUCUCCACCGACCACCGGUCAGCGGUCCAGGUAGCGCCGCGGCACAGCGCCAGCGGGCAACGGCCAACCGGGCACCGGCAUCACGUGCGGCCGCACGCCCAAACGGCCACCGCUCCAUGCUCCAACAAUUCAGCAUCACUGGCUCACUGCGUCUGCGUCUCAGCGUCUACGUCAGGAUCCAGCGUCACUGCGUCUACGACUGUGUCAGGCUCAGCAUCGAUAUCCAGCCCUAUGGAGGAGAACACUCCAUUGCCAGCAAGUUUGGGGUCUCGAUCUCGAAUUCGAACCAAGCAACUCACAAAGAAGCCACCCAUUUCGAUGCAGAAGAUGUCUGCAGCGACAACAUCAUCGGCGUCCGGCAAUCGGUCUAAUGUUUCUAUAUCUGUGGUGAGUAUCCAAAACUUCAAAUGCUAAGCUUUUGUUGUCUUCACAUUCUUUGUUGUAUGCUAGAUUGUAAUGUUGGAUUGAAAUGCAGGAACCAACAACUAAUUCUAGAGAGGAGGAAGACAAGGAGGAGGACAAUAGCCUCGACAUGGAGGAUGAUUUCUCUCUAAGCCUAUCUUCAGAGGAUGGUGGGAGCCAGGGUGAAGAUGAGGUUCAGGUGGCACAAGUUCAUAAUGCAAAGAGAGGAGUCAAAAAGGCAAAGGGUGAUGUUCCAUUAUCUCCUUCAAAGUGUAAGGUCAAGAGGGUGAAGCGAGCCGAUUGCUGGAAGUAUUUUAAGGUGGUCGAAGUUCAAUCAAAGAAGAAGUUUGGGGAAAUGGUGACGAAGGCCAAGUGCAAGUUUUGUUACAAACUGUAUGUGUAUCAACCUGGGGGGUCCAACAUCACAGCUGAAUCGACAUCUGGAUAAGUGCACUGCCUACCAGAACAAGUUGGCCAAUGCAAAAUCAAAGGUUGCUCAAGGUACUAUCAGCUUCGCUCUUGAUGAUGGUUCUCUUGUUGUUAAUCCCAGUGAAUAUGAUCGUGAUCACACUAGAAAUUUGAUUGCUAAGAUGAUUAUUGUUCAUGAGUAUUCACUUCGAAUGGUAGAGCACAGAUGGUUUAAUAUCUUGAUGAAAUGGAUGAAUAACAGCUAUGAAAGUAUUGGUAGAAAGACUAUAAAAAACGAGUGCAUGAAAGUGUAUGAAUCUGAAAAGGACCUUCUAAAGAAAACUCUUAGAAAGGUUGAAUCCAUAAGUUUGACUACCGAUCUGUGGACAUCUAACCAAAAUGUCCAAUACAUGAGUUUGGUUGCACACUACAUAGAUGUAAAUUGGGAAUUGCAAUGUCGUGUACUAAACUUUGUGGAGUUGGAUCCUCCCCACACUGGUGUAGUGAUAGCUCAAGCUAUUUUAGAGUGCCUGGUUGAAUGAAAAAUUGAAGAUAAAGUUAUCACAAUCACACUUGACAAUGCUUCAAAUAAUGAUGUUGCCAUCACCAAUUUGACAUCCAAGCUUCUUGCUAGAAGGAAGAUGUGCUAAUGGUGGAUGCUAGCCUUUUGGUUUUGGUGGCAUGUUGUUGUCUAGUCUAGUUGACUUGCUGUGCACUUUGUACAUGUCCUGCACUCCUGCUAAGCUGCUAGGGCAGUAGACAGUAGUGCACUAGUCAGUAGUGCCAUCCUUUUGGUGGUUAAGUGGUUAGUGGUUAGUUAGUUGUAAAUUCUAGUGGUUAACUGGUUGUAAGUUCUGGUAGGGCUGGAUAUCGAGCCAGCUUGGCUCGGCUCGGCUCGGCUCGUUAAACAACCGAGCCAGAAGAGCAGCUCGGCUCGGCUCGUUAACGAGCUCGAGCUGGCUCGUUUGGCUCACGAGCCACAGCAAAAAAAUCUGCUGCACUCACCCGUCACACACACACACACACAUAUAUAUAUAUAUAUAUAUAUAUAUAUAUAUAUAUAUAUAUAUAUACUGAUGUACACAAAUACAAAAACAAUUUAACACUAGAAAAUAGUUCAAAAGUGACAACACAAAUCACAUUUCAUAAUCAGGAAUUCAGCCUGCAACAUUCAUGAUUCAUCAGUUCACAAAUCACAACAUUCAUCAGUUCAUGGCUUCAAGCAUCACAGUUCACAACAUUAGAAUUUACAACCAACCAGGCAACCACUAACCAUGCUCCAUGCAUCUGUGAUCAGUCCAUGGCUUCAUGCAUCACACGAUCACAACAUUAAUUCAUGGCUUAAUUUACAAAAGUAGCCACCACACCAGAACUUACAAGGUACGUUUUUAGACUUAGUACAUUGUUUUGAGUACUAACAUAUUUUGUCUAAGUACUAGAAACAGGGAGAAAAGAAUUGGAAAAAGACUUGGCUCUGCGCAGCCAAUUCUCAGCUCAGUCUGGCACACCGGACAGUGUCCGGUGGUGCACCGGAUAGUGUCCGGUGCGCCAGGCUGGUCUCGGGAAAAGUUUGGUGGCGUACGGCUAUAAUUCACCGGACUGUCCGGUGGUACACCGGACUGUCCGGUGAGCCAACGGUCGCCAGCGCAACGGUCGGCCGCGCAAUCCGCGAGCGACGCGUGGCCCGCACCAACGGUCGGCAGGGGGCAUCGGACUGUCCGGUGUGCACCGGACAGUGUUUGGUGCGCCAACGGGCCCGAAGCUGCAACGGUCGGGUGAGCCAGAAAAGAAAGGAGAUCGUGCACCAGACAGCUACAAUGAUUGUCCAGUGGUGCACCGGACUGUCCGGUGCACCACCCAACAAAAGGCAAGUUUGGCCUUCCUUGUUGGCCUCCAACGGCUCCUAGCUGCCUUGGGGCUAUGAAAGGGACCCCUAGGCGCAUGGAGGAGCUACACAAGCAUUCACUAAGCAUCCUAAGGCAUCCAGACUCUGUUCUCGCGCAUUCAUUUCGUUGUGUUAGAGAUUUGAGCUCUAUUCGAGUCAAGGACUCCUUAUGUUGUCAUUUGAGCUCAAGUCUUCUCUUGUGUGCGUGGGUGUGCUGCGAUUUGUGUCUUGUGUGUGUUGCUCAUCCCAACCUUACUCUGUGCUUUCAUUGUGAUAUUUGUUGUAAGGGCGAGAGACUCCAAUCUUGUGGAGAUUCCUCGCAAACAGGAAUAAUCAUCUAAAGGAAAAACCGUGGUAUUCAAGUUGAUCAUCGGAUCACUUGAAAGGGGUUGAGUGUAACUCUCGUCCAUUGGUACGCCACAACGUGGAAGUAGGCAAGUGUUACUUGGCCGAACCACGAGAUAAAAAUCGUGUGUCUUGUGUUGAUCUCUCUGUGAUUAUUUGUGUUCACAAGAACUCGCUUCAAGUUAUUUAGCCGUACUAACACUCAUAACUAAGUUUUGUGGCUAUUAGUGUUUGAAUUUUACAAGAUCACCUAUUCACCCCCCCUCUAGGUGCUCUCAUGUCGAGGUCGAGAUGGGCUUGGCAUCCUUCAUUCCAAACUUAUUGAGUAUGUCUUGAAUAUACUUGGUUUGGCUAAUGAAGGUGCCCUCUUGGAGUUGCUUGACUUGAAAUCCUAGGAAAUACUUCAACUCCCCCAUCAUAGACAUCUCGAAUUUUUGAAUCAUGAUCCUACUAAACUCUUCACAAGUAGAUUUGUUAGUAGACCCAAAUAUGAUAUCAUCAACAUAAAUUUGGCAUACAAACAAAUCUUUUGCAAUAGUUUUAGUAAAGAGUGUAGGAUCGGCUUUACCGACUUUGAAUCCAUUAGUGAUAAGGAAAUCUCUUAGGCAUUCAUACCAUGCUCUUGGGGUUUGCUUGAGCCCAUAAAGCGUCUUUGAGAGUUUACAGACAUGGUUAGGGUACUCACUAUCCUCAAAGCCGGGAGGUUGCUCAACAUAGACCUCUUCCUUGAUUGGUCCAUUGAGGAAGGCACUUUUCACGUCCAUUAGAUAGAGCUUAAAGCCAUGGUAAGUAGCAUAGGCAAGUAAUAUGCGAAUUGACUCAAGCCUGGCUACGGGUGCAUAGGUUUCACCGAAAUCCAAACCUUCGACUUGUGAAUAUCCUUUGGCUACAAGUCGGGCUUUGUUCCUUGUCACCACACCAUGCUCGUCUUGCUUGUUGCGGAAUACCCAUUUGGUACCUAAAACAUUUUGAUUAGGACGUGGAACUAAAUGCCAUACCUCAUUCCUCGUGAAGUUGUUGAGCUCCUCUUGCAUGCCAACACCCAAUCUGAAUCUCUUAGUGCAUCCUCCACCAUGUAUGGCUCAAUAGAGGACACAAAAGAGUAAUGUUCACAAAAAUGAGUGACUCGAGAUCGAGUUGUUACCCCCUUAUGAAUGUCACCGAGAAUUGAGUUCAUGGGGUGAACUCUUUGAAUCGCUUGGUGGACUCUUGGGUGUGGCGGUCUUUGACCCUGUAUCUCUUGAUCAUCUUCCAUGUCUUGCUCAACUUCAUCUCCCCCUUGAUCGUUGUCCUCCUCUUGAGGUGGCUCAUCCUCUUGAUCUUCAUUUUCAUCAUUUUGAGCCUGAUCCUCAUCUUGGGUUGGUGGAGAUGUUUGCAUGAAAGAUGAUGGUUGAUCUUGUGCUUGUGUGCACUUCGGAUUCCUUAGGACACACAUCCCCAAUGGACAUGUUCCUUAGCGCGACGCAUGGAGCCUCUUCAUCAUCUAAUUCAUCAAGAUCAACUUGCUCCACUUGGGAGCCAUUAGUCUCAUCAAACACAAUGUCACAAGAAAUCUCAACUAAUUCAGAGGAUUUGUUGAAGACUCUAUAUGCCCUUGUGUUUGAGUCAUAUCCUAGUAAAAAGCCUUCUACAACCUUAGGAGCAAAUUUAGAUUUUCUACCUCUUUUAACAAGAAUAAAACAUUUGCUACCAAAGUCUCUAAAAUAUGAAACAUUGACCUUUUUACCGGUGAGGAGUUCAUAAGAUGUCUUCUUGAGGAUUCGGUGAAGGUAGAGCCGGUUGAUGGAGUAGCAGGCGGUGUUAAUCGCCUCAGCCCAAAACCGGUCCGGAGUCUUGUACUCAUCAAGCAUGGUCCUUGCCAUGUCCAGUAGAGUUCUAUUCUUCCUCUCCACUACACCAUUUUGUUGAGGUGUGUAGGGAGAAGAGAACUCAUGCUUGAUGCCCUCAUCCUCAAGAAAGCCUUCUAUUUGUGAGUUCUUGAACUCUGUCCCAUUGUCCCAUCCUCAAGCAAGCAUUUAAUUCAUGAAUCUUAGUAUAUAAAAUAGCAUUCUCUUUUCUAAGAUUGGAAAUAGAAACAUUGCAAACAUCCAAGUCUUUAGCCUUUGAAAUUAAACUAGCAUUUUCAAGUUUAAGGCUAGAAAUUGAUUCAUUCAAUUUAUCAAUCUUAGCAAUCAAACUAUCAAUUUCAUUUCUAAGAUUGGCAAUUGAAUCAUGGCAAUCAUUUGAUUUUUCAACCUUAGCAAUUAAAUUACAAUUCUCAGUUCUAAGGUUGAAGAUAGUGUCAUGGAAAAUGCUAAGCUCUUUAGUCAAGUUUUCACAUUUCUCUAUCUCCUAAGCAUAAGCAUUUUUCACCUUAACAUGUUUUUUAGUUUCCUUAAUAAGGAAUUCCUCUUGGCUAUCCAAGAGUUCAUCCUUCUCAUGAAUAGCACCUAUUAAUUCAUUUAAUUUUUCUUUUUGUUGCAUGUUAAGGUUGGCAAAAAGACUAAGCAAGUUAUCUUCAUCAUCACUAGAACUACCAUCAUCACUAGAUGUAGUAUACUAGGGGGUGGUUCUAGCUUGUACCUUCUUUUUCUUGUCGUCCUUUGCCAUGAGGCACUUGUGGUCGACAUUGGGGAAGAGAAGUCCCUUGUUGCCGGCGAUGUUGGCGGCGUCCUCGUCGGAGGAGGAGUCGGUGGAGCUCAUGUCCGAGUCCCAUUCCUAACAUAUGUGGGCAUCGCCGCCCUUCUUCUUGUAGUACUUCUUCUUUUCCUUUCUCUUUCCCCUCUUGUCGUCACCCCUGUCACUAUCACUUGACAUAGGACAUUUAGCAAUGAAAUGACUGGGCUUACCACACUUGUAGCACACCGUUUUGGAGCGGGGUUUGUAGUCCUUCCCCCUCCUUUGCUUGAGGAUUUGGUGGAAGCUCUUGAUAAUGAGUGUCAUCUCCUCGUUGUCGAGCUUAGAGGCAUCGAUGGGGAGCCUACUUGAUGUAGACUAUUCUUUCUUCUCCUCCAUCGCUUUGAAUGCGACGGGUUGCACCUCGGGUGUGGAAGUGUCACCUUGCUCCAAGUUGAUGAUUUGUUUGGAGCCUUUGAUCAUCAAUUCAAAGCUCACAAACUUUCCUAUCACUUCCUCCGGAGACAUUAAUUUGUAUCUAGGAUCCCCAUGAAUUAAUUGUACUUGAGUAGGAUUGCGAAAAACAAGGGAUCUUAGAAUAACCUUGACCAUCUCAUGGUCAUCCCAUUUUGUGCUCCCGAGGUUGCGCACUUGGUUGACCAAGGUCUUGAGCCGGUUGUACAUUGCUUGUGGCUCCUCUCCUUGGUUGAGGAUGAAUCGACCAAGUUCCCCCUCGAUCGUCUCCCGCUUGGUGAUCUUGGUCACCUCAUCCCCUUCGUGCGCGGUCUUUAGUACAUCCCAAAUCUCUUUGGCACUUUUUAGCCCUUGCACCUUAUUAUAGUCCUCUCGACAUAGAGAGGCGAGGAGUAUAGUGGUGGCUUGGGAGUCAAAAUGCCGGAUUUGGGCGACCUUGUCCGAAUCAUAUCCUUCAUCCCCUACGGAUGGUACCUGCGUUCCAAACUCAACAAUAUCCCAUAUGCUUGCGUGGAGUGAGGUUAGAUGAUGCCUCAUUUUAUCACUCCACAUACAAUAAUCUUCACCAUAAAAAACCAGUGGUUUGCCUAAUGGGACGGAAAGUAAAGGAGUGUGUUUAGAAAUGCGAGGAUAGCGUAGGGGGAUCUUACUAAACUUCUUGCGCUCAUGGCGCUUAGAAGUAACAGACGGCGCGUCGGAGCCGGAGGUGGAUGGCGACGAAGAAUCGGUCUCGUAGUAGACCACUUUCUCCAUUUUCUUCCUCUUGUCGCCACUCCAAUGCGACUUGACGCGGGGAGGUGAUUUCUCCCUUCCUUUGGCACCGGACUCCCUUGAUGGAGCCUUCCCGUGGCUUGUGGCUGUUUCCAUCUCCCUCUUGGCGUGAUCUCCCGACAUUACUUCGAGUUUUUAAACUCUAAUGAAGUAUCGGGCUCUGAUACCAAUUGAAAGUCGCCUAGAGGGGGGUGGAUAGGCGGAAACUGAAAUUUACAAACUUAAAGCACACUACAAGCCGAGGUUAGCGUUAGAAUAAAAAUCGAGUCCGAGAGAGAGGGGGAAAACAAAUCAACCAAGAAAUAAAGCAGAUGACACGGUGAUUUGUUUUACCGAGGUUCGGUUCCAAAGAACCUAGUCCCCAUUGAGGUGGUCACAAAGACCGGGUCUCUUUCAACCCUUUCCCUCUCUCAAACGGUCACUUAGACCGAGUGAGUUUCUUCCUUGAUUUCUCGGGUCACUUAGACCCCGCAAGGACCACCACACAAUUUGUGUCUCUUGCUUCGCUUACAAGGCUUUGAGAGUAAGAAUGAGAGAAAGAAGAAAGCCAACCAAGCAACAAGAGCAACAAAGAACAUAAGACGAUCUUCUCACAAGUCCUAAAAUACUAGAGUUGAAUUGUGGACUUUGAUUGGAUCGAAGGCUUUGAUUUGUGUCUUGGAGUGUUGUAUUUUGCUCUUGUAUUUAAUGAGGAGUAGUGAAUGCUUGGAUGGUUGGAGUGGAGAUGGUUGGGGGGUAUUUAUAGCCCUCAACCACCAAUUCAACCGUUGGGGCAGGCUGUUGUCGACGGGCGCACCGGACAGUCCGGUGCGCCAGCCACGUCACCCAACCGUUAGGGUUCUGACGGUUUCGACCGUUGGAGCUUUGUCUUCAUGUGGCACCGGACAGUCCGGUGCCGCACCGGACAGCUACUGUUCACUGUCCGGUGCGCCUCUGGCGACUGCUCUGACUUCUGCGCGCACUGUUCUUCACUGUUCACGUUGCAGGCGACCGUUGGAGUCAACCGUUGCGCUGGCUAGCCGUUGCUCCGCUGGCACACCGGACAGUCUGGUGAAUUAUAGCGAAGCGCGGCCUCAGAAACCCGAAGGUGAAGAGUUGGAGUCGAUCGCCCCUGGUGCACCGGACACUAUCCGAUGGUGCACCGGACAUUGUCCGGUGCGCCAGACCAGGGUUCUCUUCGGUUUCUUUUGCUCCUUUCUUUUGAAAUCCUAACUUGAUCUUUUUAUUGGUUUGUUUUGAACCUUUAGCACCUAUAGAAUAUAUGAUCUAGAGCAAACUAGUUAGUCCAAUUAUUUGUGUUGGGCAUUCAACCACCAAAAUCAUUUAUAGGAAAAGGUUAAACCCUAUUUCCCUUUCAAUAACUCAUCCAUAUACGUGGACACGGACUAUUCUAAUAAAUUUUGAACUCUGCACAGAGGUGUGCUCUCUAUCCACUAGUCCGGUUUCUGCAAUUUCAACGUCAUGAGUUUCGAAUACCGAAACUCUCUCCUCCCUUGCACGGCUUUGCCUUAACGGUUAUACCAAAAGGAACAAGGUAACCUCCUCACCCAAACCAGGAUGUAAUUAUUCCCCCACCUUGUCCUUUCGGUGCUCCCUAGCCACCGAUAAGCCAGGGGUGCAGACUGUGCAAGUUCAGAUUAAGCGACUGUCCAUACAGUCCCGAGUGGUUGUACUUGAUAAGAGUUUAGGUAAGGAGUGAUGACAAGCCGGUCCUUAUGCGAGACGGGACAAUCAUUCAUGCUCACACCUAACCCGGCUGAGCCAACUUCUUAGGGCCCUCCCAAACCAGGGAGUCCUGAUCAUCCCGCUCAUGGUGGUGACAGAGAUAAAUGUUCACCCUUUUUUUGAAAACAAGUUUCUUUUAAAAAAACUCACACCUUUUAUCAAAUCAUUUUGUAAUAAAAAUGUCAAGGAGUAUAAAAAAUUUUUGCGACAAAGUUCUAAGGUUGGGUGGCCAUAUUAACAUGUCUCUUAGUAGCAAAAUAAUGUAAUGCAUAAAAUAACAGGCUGAGUGAUGUGUUUGAAAGCAUAGAUAAUUUAUACAUCAAAGAGAUCUAGUGGGUUUGUCGUGCCUUAACUAGCGAAAGGGUGAGAGCUUGUUGUACUAGCUUCUGGCUUCACCGACUGGCAUGGACUUGCGGAACUGGCAUUCAUGGGACAUCACGAACGCUCCGAUAACUAUGCAGCAAGAAUAAGCAAACAUACAAACCAGCAAGUAUAUCAACUAAAAUUCUUUAUAGUGGUCAGGAAUGGUGGUGGAUGGGUGAAUAUAGAUUUGAGUAGAGUUUGUAUUGAUGGAGUAGAGAUGCUUACCCGACAUGCAUUUAGAUCGGCAUCCUCUUCAAUGAAAUCAAUUAAAUAAAGCUUAUCGUCUAAUACACCUUUAAAAGCUAAUGUACCAUCACUUAUUCUAAAGACAGAUACAUCAAUAUUUGUAAAGAAACAAUUACAGCUCAUAUGACAUAAUUGACUUAUAGAAAGCAAAAUGUAACCAAGCGAUUCUACUAAGAAAACAUUAGAUAUUGAAUGCUCAGUAAUGAUGGCUAUUUUACCCAAACCUUUGAGCUUGCCAUGAUUCCCGUCUCCAAAGACAAUCGUAUCUUGGGAAUCCUUGUUUUUGACGUAGGAGGUGAACAUCUUCUUCUCCCCCAUCAUAUGGUUUGUGCAUCCACUGUCAAUAAUCCAACUUGUGCCUCCGGAUGCAUAAACCUGCAAGGUGAUUUAAGCCUGGGAUUUAGGUACCCAACUCUUGUUGGGUCCUACAAGGUUAGUCACAUAAGACUUUGGAACCAAAAUACAAGUUUUGCCUCUCUUGCACUUAGGCCCCACAUUUCUAGCAAUAACUUUUUCAUUUUUACACAUAAGCACAAAUGAAGCAUCAUAAGUAUGAUAAAACAUAGUUGGACCAUUAGAUGCAUUCCUAGGCGCAUGGGAAACAACAUGAUGAGUAUGGCGCCUAGGUCUACUCCUACCAUGAACAUACAAAGAGGUAGAGGAUGCAAACAUGGCAUGUGAAUCAAAGGCAGCAUCAUGACGUACAGGUAAAACAACAUGAUUAUAACAACCAUCAUGAUGAGCAGCAUUAGUGGCAUUCUUAACAUGAGCAUACAAAUAGGCAUGGUUCUUUUUGUCAUGAAAAGAAUGAGAACUACUAGCCAUAGGUGCCUUCCCUUUCUCCUUGAUGAGAUUGGAGGCCCUUUGGCUUAAGUUCUUGGUCCCCUUUUGGAAACCAAGUCCAUCCUUAAUGGAGGGAUGUCUACCAAUGGUGUAGGCAUCCCUUGCAAAUUUUAUUUCAUCACACUCAUUCUUGCAAGUUUUAAGUUGGGCAUUAAGGUUUGCAAUUUCAUCAUUCAACUUAGAGAUAGUGGAAGCAUGAGUAUUGCAAGCAUCAAUAUCAAUUUCUUUACAUCUAUUGCAAAUAGAAACAUGAUCCAUAGAUGAACUAGCAACAUUUACUUUUUCUAGCUUAGCAUUUAAAUUGUUAAGACUAGAAAUAGAAUCACGACAAGACGAUAACUCAGAAGAAAGUAAUUCAUUUUUCUUAAUUUCAACAGCUAGAGAUUUUUCAGCAUUAAUACACUUAUCAUGUUCUUCAUAUAGAAUAUCGUAUUGUUUCUCUAGCAAUCUAUCCUUCUCAUUAAGGGCAUCAAUUACUUCAUUGAUUUUAUCUACUUUAGAUCUAUCUAAACCUUUAAAGAUAUCGCUAUAGUCUACAUCAUCAUCAUAUUCCUCAUCACUAGAAGAAGUGUACUUAGGGGUAUCUCGAGUACGUACCUUCUUCUCCUUAGCCAUGAGGCAUGUGUGAUGCUCGUUGGGGAAGAGGAAGGACUUGUCGAAGGCUGAGGCAGCAAGUCCCUUAUCGUCGGAGUCGGAUGAAGAGCAAUCUGAGUCCCACUCUUUGCCAAUGUGCGCCUCGCUCUUCGUCUUCCUGUAGUUCAUUGAUAAGUACGGGAUUAUCACUACUAUCAAAUGCAUUCCAUUUUCCACUAUCUCCCAAAUACUAGGAUGGGGAGAAAAUAAACAUUUUAUGACUCUAGAAAGAAUAAUCUUCUCCAUCAAAGUGGGGGGGUUUCCAAGUGGAAUAGACAAUAAAUGUGCAUUCGAAUUAUAAGGGAUGUGUGAAUAAUCAAAAGAAUAGUUUUGAUUAAUCGUUUUUUUUCGAUGAAGAGUCUUCGUCGUCGUCAUCCAUUGGUGAAGAAGAAGAGGUGUUGUUGUCGUAGUAGAUGUUCUUCUUGAUGCGCCUCUUCUUUCUAUCCUUCCUUUUGUUGGUUGAGUCUGAGUCGGUGGGCUUGUCACCUUUUGGCUCAUCAAAAUAGAGAGUCUCCUUCUCCUUCUCCUUGUCGUUGAUCACCAUCCCCUUGCCCUUAGGAUCCAUCUCUUCGGGUGGUUAGUCCCUUGAUGAAGAGAACAACUCUAAUAUCAAUUGAGAGCACCUAGAGGGGGUGAAUAUGUGAUCCUGUAAAAAACAGCUCAACAAAACAAACUUGGACUAAUAUUGAAUUAGUGGAAGCAAGAGCCAAGUUCGAAUGAGGAUUAUGAGCGGAGUAAACUUCUUCACUUAAUUGCUCUUCACUAUGUGAGCAUUAAACUUAGAGCAAUAAUGUAAGUGAAGUGGAUAGAGAGAAAAUCGCAGUAGGAUAAGGAUACGUGACACAACGAUUUUUAUCUCGUGGUUCGGUCAAGUAGAAUACUUGCCUACUCCACGUUGUGGCGUCCCAACGGACGAGGGUUGCACUCAACCCCUUUCAAGUGAUCCAAAGGUCAACUUGAAUGCCACGGUUCUGUUUAUCUCAACAAUACCCCAUUGUGAGUUAUCUCCACAAUUUGGAGUCUCUCACGCCUAACACAAAUGAUCUCAAAUAAACACAAGAGUAAGGGGGAAUAGAAACACACACAAGAGCGAGAGUUGCAGCAGCAACACACACACAAGACAAGAAAGAGCACACGAAACAACACAGCGGAGUUACAGCUCAAAGAAGUGCUCAAAUCUAUAUCACAAUGAAACGAAUGCGUGUUUGCGGAUUCUCGGCAUUGUAAGAUGUUUAAUGGGUGCUUGGUGUAAUGCUCCAUAUGCCUAGGGGUCCCUUUUAUAGCCCCAAGGCAGCUAGGAGCCGUUGGCGUCCCAUUUGUAAGGCCCUGGUUGCCUUCUAUCCGUGGACGCAGUCUGGUGCACCACCGGACAAUGAACAGUGUGUGAUUUCCUUCCUUAUUUGGCAAGACGACCAUUGUCAGCCACUGGUCCCACGGCGCAUCGGACAGGCUGGUGUCACACCAGACAGUCCAGUGUUGCAUGUUGACCGUUGGCUGAGCCACGUGUCGCCCGCUGAUCGCGCGGUCGAUCGUUAGCAGGGCGCGUGGCUGGCACAUCGGAUAGUCCGGUGCACAAUCAUGUCUUGUUUCAUCUCGUUUUCAUGUGCUUUUCCUAAAUAUAGGAUCUCCGACAGGGGGAGUAUAUCUUCUUUCAUACAAAAGGGGAGAAUAUUCUUUCAAAGGGGGUGAGCUCUCUUUUAGGGGGAGUAAUCAUUUUAGAGGGCAAGUCUUUGAUUGCUUCCUAUAUGAUUUUAAUGUCUUCCUUUUGGUGUUUGAUUCCAAAGGGGGCGAAGUUUUAGGGACCAAAGCAAAUUCAAAAUAUAUCAAAUAUCAAACACCACCCAAUUUAAAAUUUAAAAACUUGAGCUUACAAGCAGUUUUGGUUCUACAAGUGUUUUUGGUCUAAAAUAGGAAGUAUGUGGAUUAUGGUGUUAGGGGAGGCUUAAGCCCAUAAUGUCACGUUGUGGGGACAUUCAUGCAUCCUAGCAAGUAGAUUGCAUAUUUUUAUCAAAAUAUUUUUUAUAUUUGCUUGCUUUGGUUGUGUUGUCAUCAAUCACAAAAAGGGGGUUGUAAGGAAAAUGGACCUCGACCCAUUUAACUAAAUGAUUUUGGUGGUUGAUGAUCAACAUAAUCUGUUGACUAAUGUGUCUGCUAGUUUUUAUAUUUGUAGUUCAUAGGAUGUUAAAGUGACUUGGACUAAGGCACUGAGGAAGCAACACCUCAAAAGAAGAUAUUAUGAAACCAUAUGUGAAGAUCAAAAAGUAUCAAGCAAAGUCCAAGACAUGAAGAGAGUGUAGCCACUCGCGAACCAUCUGUCCAAGUGCAGCGGAUUGUCCGAUGGCUCACCGGAUAGUCCGGUCCACCCGGUGGACUAUCCGGUGCACCAAGAAAUAGUAGUCCAACACCUAGUUCCUGGUGGCACAGUGGAGGAAAGCCACUGAAUUGUACGGUGCACCACCGGACUGUCCGGUGUGUUGCAGAGAGCAGUAGCUUUUCUGCAAUGGCUAUAUUCGAGUUGGGACCUAUAUAUAUUUCACCCAACCGGCCAUUUGAAGGGGUGGCAGUCCAAGCAACUGCUUGGGAGUCCUUGCAAUUUGAAUAAACCAAGAUCUUACCAUGACUGCAAUUUUAGAGAGACGCGAAAGUACAAGCCUGUGGGGUCGCUUCUGCAACUGGAUAACUAGCACCGAAAACUGUAUUUACAUUGGAUGGUUCGGUGUUUUGAUGAUCCCUACCUUAUUGACCGCAACUUCCGUAUUUAUUAUCGCCUUCCAACACAUGUUAUAGACAUUUCCAAGUGCUCA